rnacentral:lncRNA from 1 species
UGAUUGCGGAAUCAAGCCCCCCUUCUCUAAGCUCUCAGUCAGGGGUGUUCCUCGGUUUCGGAUGAAAUCGGGGCGGGUUGACAAUACUUCACACGCCCUUGGGCGCGUUGUUGCAGUCUGUUAGAUUUGAAGAACUGCCGUGUUUCAUUCCUGAGGAAUUUUGUCUUUGCUCGGUGUAGUGCCUGUCCGUUGAGCCACACUCGCAGUAAUAAUUCAAGCUCUGAAAAUUCUGAACUUGAUUCAGCAUUCGUCAAUUUUUUAACUUGCUGUGGUGUAGCCUACUUUCCAAGGGAGAAGAUAAUGAUUGUUGCCUGAGUUGAGCCCUCGAUCCGGCAAUAAUAUACAAUCUAUAACUGGGAUGAACGGCUGACUGGUUGGCCACGUUGAAAAGCGUCGUGCAAGCGUGCGGCUUAUCGGCUGGCCACGUGGCGGAAGCAGAUUUACGCUUCUGCCACUUAUCCCCAUGAGAAUCGUCUCUUAUCUCCUCUCGUUUCCCUCGCGACGAAACAUGCAUCGGCGUCUACGUGCGUGGGGUACUAGAUAGUGUCUCGCUCGAGAUCACAUCCUCAGCAAUGUCGCCGUCGCCGUCGUCGUCGUCGCUCUACUCCGGUCGCCUCCUCUCCUCCCGCCCGGCGUCCAAGGGGCUCGUACGUCGUCUCCUCGCUCGCGAUGGGAGCAGGUGGGUCAGGCCGUCGUGCUCCCUGUCUAUGAACGGCUGCGCGGCAGGUGUCGGCGACCGGGGCGUGGUGACCAUGCACGAGACGCGGGCCCUGCCGGCAGCGUCGGCGCCGCAGGAGGCCGUCGGGCAGCUCAGGGCCGCCGUCGCCGCGCUCAACGCCGACCCGCCGGCGUCCUCCUCCGGCAUCAUCCGCAUCGAGGUAGCAAAGCCAAAGCACAUGUCCCUCGUCAAUGGCGCGUGUGGUGUGGAACUGCGUUUGAUCGUUCUAUCUGGAUAAAAUGCGCACGCAGGUGCCUAUUCGGCAGCGAGGGGACGCCAUCGAGUGGCUGCACGCGCAGAGGCAGAGCUCCCUGCUCCGCUGCUUCUUCUCCGCCCGGGCGCCCCUGCCGGACACGCCGGCCGUCGCCGUGGGCAGCCGCAGCAGCAACGGCAACGGCGGCCACAAGGAGCAGUGGGAGCAGCCGGUUAGCGUCGCCGGCGUGGGGUCGGCGGUCUUCUUCCGCGGCACGGACCCCUUCUCCCUCCGCGACUGGCGAGCCAUCAAGAGGUACGCAAAAACUCACUACCUACUCGAUGAGCUAGUAGUAUGUUUUUUUGAAUUGAAUGAACUGUGGUAAAGCUUGGCUUAGAGUGCGUUGACGAUGCUGUUCCUCCUCUUCUUUGCCCGUGAAGAUUUCUUUCAAGGGAUUGCCCGCUGAUCCGCGCCUACGGCGCCAUCCGUUUCGACGCGUCGAGCGACGCCUCGGUCGAAUGGGAAGACUACGGCGCAUUCUACUUCGUUGUUCCACAAGUAAGUCGAUCCGCAACUGGUGACAGUUUCAUUCUGCAUGAUGAAUGCAAUGUGCAUGUGUACUGGCUGCUUCUUUUCAAGUGUGUGCAAUGUAAAAGUGUACUGCAUUGCAGGUUGAGUUCAGCGAGCUCGAGGAGGGCUCGGUUCUGGCGACGACGAUUGCGUGGGACGACUCGCUUUCUUGGACAUGGCAGAGCGCUGUGGACGAGCUCCAAUCAACAUUGCACAAGGCAUGACAUUUUAUUUUUCUGUAUUGUCAUGUGCAAGAUAGUAACUUAGCAACCACUAAUUUGAGCUUCUAUGCAGAUAUCACCCUGUUCAGUUAAGGUGAACAGGUCCAUCCUACAAACCGCCAUCGUAAAUCUCAAUCAUGUCCCCACCAAGGCGUCCUGGGAUCUUGCUGUUACUCAAGCUCUUCGGAUGAUCAAAGGGAGCCAAACCGAAUUAGUCAAGGUAAACCGAAUUAGCAAGCAAUUUUUUUUACCUGUCCUUUUGCGAGUACAGAGAGGUUUGGUCAAAUCUGAUAUUUUUGUCAAUGCUAGAAUUUUCCAGUUAGUUAAGAAAAUACUUGUUUUCCAUUUUUGUUCACCACAUAUUUUGAACUUGCCAUUGAAAUAUUUUCCACAGGUUGUGUUGGCAAGGUGCAGCAGGUACAUCACUGAUACUUGCAUCGACCCUCUGGAGCUGUUAGCUUGUCUGAAGGUAUGUUGUAUUGUUGUCCCCUCCCCUCGUUGUUUACAAAAAGAUCAUUCCGCGACUCUUGUGUAUACAGGUUGAGGGCCAGAAUGCCUACCAGUUCUGCAUACAGCCACCUGAUGCUCCUGCAUUUGUUGGAAAUAGUGUAUGUCUUCUGUGAUGCACUUUCCUUUCUUCCUGAUUUACCCGACCUUCUUUCAUAUCAUGUAUAGUCAGAAUCCUGUUUAGAGAUAGGUCUUUUUUAUGCCUUGUGCAUUGUUUAUCUGUAUAUUUGCUCUAGCAUUGUUACAUAACUCUGUUCUAACUAUUGCUAAUUUCAUCCAAACAUUCUGAAUAGCCAGAGCAACUAUUUCACCGGAAAUACUUGAACAUUUCCAGCGAGGCUUUAGCCGGCACGCGAGCAAGAGGGAAAACAAGGGCUGAUGAUUUUCAAAUUGGCCAGGAAUUGCUUCUAAGGUUUGUUUCCCCUCUUUGUGCUUGGAAUCAUAAGAUUGACAUAUUUCUGAAAUUUUACGGUGAUAUCGGCACCUUGUACGAAGACCAGACUGGUCAGUAAUGCAAAUAAUUCUUGCAGCAUCAAAGAGGACACUGAAUUUACUAUUGUACGGGACAGCAUAAAGAAGAAGCUUGAGGCAAGUUAAGUUUCACAGUCCAAUUUCAGAUAUGAUCGUGGAAUAGUUUGCUUUGCUCUUGGUACUCAGUAGUAAUGCUUUUCAGAAAACAAAAUAUGGUUACUGCAAUUUUUGCUGAACCAGUGGAUCUGAUCUAAUCUGCAGAUGAUCUGUGAUGAGGUUGUUGUCAAUCCCAGCAAGGCCCUUCGGAAACUUCCAAGAGUACAACAUUUGUCAGCUCAAUUAGCUGCAAGAUUAAGAAAUGAGGACGACGAGGUAAUCUAUGAUUGAAAUAUUCUCUGUCACUUGGAUAUGUAGGGAUCAUUUGAAUUUUCUUUUGCCUUGGAUUAUUGCAGACAUCAACUAGUGUUCAUAUAAUAGACUAUUGAUACUUUGUUCUGGUAUUGCAGUUUGACAUCCUAAAUGCUCUUCAUCCAAGCCCAGCUGUUUGUGGUUUGCCCACUGAAGAAGCGCGCCAAUUCAUACGAGAUUAUGGUGUGUGCUUGUAUUCUGGGUAAAAUGUUAUCUGUAAACUAACAUAUGCAACCUAUUGAUGGUGAUCUCUGAAUGCUAUUUUCUGAUGUUGUUGCAGAAAUUUUCGACCGUGGAAUGUAUGCUGGACCUGUUGGUUGGUUUGGUGGAGCUGAAAGUGAGUUUGCUGUUGGGAUUAGAUCAGCGCUACUUGGAAAAGUAAAUAAAACACAUGUCAUCAAUAUUUGUGUAAACCUUAUCCUUCUUAACCUAUCCUAAUUUAGAAGCAUAAGUCACCUAGCUGUCUUGUCCAGGGAUAUAGCACUUUAGUUUAUGCCGGUGCCGGGAUUGUCGAAGGUACAAAUCCAUCUUUUGAAUGGGAUGAGCUUGAUCUCAAAGCAUCUCAGGUAGUCUCUGUCCAACGUCAUGACCGUUAUUACUGACUUCUAUUUGGAAUGCUAACACGUUAGAUUUUAUGACUAUUUUCAGUUUGCAAAGUUGUUGCAGUAUCAAGAACAUCAUAUUUGCUACCAAGAGGCAGGAAACAUGGGGACAUUGAUUUGAACUGUAACUAGUAAGUCAUCAGAGAUUACAAUACUUAGAAAGAGGCGGGAAAUUACGUUAUCUCAAUUAUAUAGAAUGUCUACAACUUCAGUUUGUAUCUGACAUUAUGCCCGAUGUGUUUAUUUUGAACUCCUUCUACAGGGAAGUUUUGAUUUGUUGGGAAGAUUCCAAAUGGAGUUCAUAUCUGUUUGUGUGCGUGCGUUGUAAACUUCGAAGGAUUUCAGCCUGAUUUGCAUGGCUCUUGAAGACGCAAUCACAGAAAUAUCGAAAUAUCGAUUCGAGGAGAUGACAGUGAUGAUAGUCGUGGAGCGUACAAAAGAUUAAAUAAAAGCAUAUUAAAUAAUUAUGUACAAUGAUUGUAACAAGUCAGUUUAGUGCAAAGUGUAUAUUACCAUUCUUUUGACUUCUUCUCUGGCCUGGUCCAAUUGCUUAUAUGAUCUGGAUGCUUCUUGUUGCAAGCAUAAUGUACCUGAUGCAUUAUUUUCAUCUGAUGGGCAAUGACAUAGAUCAUUCAUUUAUAUUUGUAAGAACAAUUCUUAGUCCAGUUGGUGCCCAUUGCAGUGAUUCUUAGAGCGUGUGGCAUAGUCUCUGAGCCCAUGAUCCUCUUUCUCAUUCAACUGUAGUCACAAAACUGUAGUCACAAAAAAUAGGCCAACCUCACACUGUCACACAAAGUGUUAUGGCCGGUUUAGCUAGGCUCACCGGGCAAUCUUAGCCCACAAGUUAUCUUAGGUUAAUUCUUAUGCAAGUUAUCUUAGGUUAAUUCUUCUGCAAAUUAUCUAGAUUAUAAAUAUAGGCUGUAAGACUCCUUUUGGAAUUAAGCAAUAAGAAGAUUAUCUCUAUUGCCCGGCUCCUAGAGGAGCCGGAACCCUAGCCGCCCCCUGCCUCUUGCGCCACCGCCGCCAUCCUCCUCUCCCGCGACGGCGCCCAGCCGCCGGCGCGACCGCUCAUCGCCAUGCCCAGCCCCCUCCUUCCCCUACUGCCUACGGCCAAGACCGGGCAGAACCCUAGCUCCUAACACCUUGGUAUCAGGUACCCGGGUUUCGACCAUGUCUUCACCGCCUCCAAACCCGCCGCCACCGCAGCCGCCGCUGCCCAACGCCUCCCCCACCGCCGCUGCCACCAAUUCCACCAACGCCGCCGCUGCGUCGCCGGGCACCACGGCCUCCCUAUCGGCGCCAAUCUCCCCCGCACUCGGCACCACGCCGGGCUAGGGCCAGCCACAAACCCCCCUCCAGCAACCACCGCCGUCGCCUCCCCCAGCGCCGCCGCAGUUCACACCGGAGGCCAUGGCCGGCGUGCUCAACGACCUGGUCGUCGCGGUCCAGGGCAUCCGCCUCUACUUGGCGGGCCCGUACGGGCCGCCUCCACCGCUUCAUCCGGCCGCGUCCGCGGGCCAGCAGGCGCUGCCAUGGUACUCAGUACCGGCGGCCACCAUCGACGGCUACCCGGCGCUUUCCCCACCAGCGGCUUCGACGCCGCCUUGGCCGCAGUGGCCGACGCCGUUCGCGGCGCCAACCGCGCCGCCCGCCACCACCCAGGGACCGUAGUGGCCGACCUGGGCCCCGCCGCCUGCGCCGUCCCUCACCGCACCAUCCCUCCCGGCGGCAACGGUGUAGGUUCCACCACCGCCCCCACCCAACCCUAGCCUGGGCCGGUCCUCGCCGAGCGGCCUUCCGAUCCAGGAGGUCCGUUUCCCUUCGUCACCGUCGCCACUUCCUGGCUGGCUCCACGGGCCGCCGUCAGCUUCCACGGAGGCCCGGCCGCCGUCAGGGUUCCAGUUGCAGCCCGAGGCGUCGGGAGCCAUAGGGGACUACGUCGGCCCUUCCACCCUGGACCGAGCUCCGUCAUCAGCCCUCCGUACCGCCGAGGCAGUGGGCCAGGGCGCGCCACACCAGCAGCCGCCCCGGUUCGCAAAGAUCGACUUCGCCACGUACGACGGUUCGGACGACCCGCUUAACUGGCUCAACUAGUGUGACCAGUUCUUCCAUGGAUAGCGCACGCCCGCGUCGAAGCGCACUUGGCUGGCUUCCUACCAUCUCCGCGGGGCCGCCCAGACAUGGUACUACGCCCUCGAGCAGGACGAGGGCGACAUGCCACCGUGGGAUCACUUCCGCGAGCUAUGUCUUCUUCGAUUUGGACCACCGGUACGCGGGAGCCGCUUGGCCGAGUUGGGCCGCCUACCGUUCACCUCCACGGUGCAGGAUUUCGCCGAUCGCUUCCAGGCACUAGCAUGCCACGUGCCUGGUGUGACGGCCUUACAGCGGGCGGAGCUCUUCGUCGGCGGCCUUCCCGAGCACAUCCGCGUGGACGUCGAGAUGAAGGGGCCACAAGACCUUCAGACGACCAUGUACUACGCCCGCGCGUUCGAGCGCCGCGUGGUGGCCAUCCAGCAGGAAUCACCGUCUCGGACCGCCGGGUUGCUACCCGGGCCGGAUUCCGUGCAGGGUCGGCCUGCGCAGGCUUCUGCGACACCCCUCAUCGCGACCGCGGCGCGGUAGUUCCGCUGGCUCACAUCAGCCGAACUGCUCGAGCGUCGUCGCCAAGGGUUAUGCUUCAACUGCGACGAACCCUACACGCCUGGCCAUGCCUGCCCGCGACUCUUCUACCUGGAGGUUGCAGACUACAUUCCGGAGGACACCCCCAACUGUCGAGAAGGUGUUUGACGCUGGUUGAUCGCCUCCAGGAGUUCCGCAAGCGCUUCCCCACCUUACAGCUCGAGGACGAGCUGUUUGUGCAGGCGGGGAGAAGUGUUAUGGCCGGUUUAGCUAGGCCCGCUGGGCAAUCUUAGCCCACAAGUUAUCUUAGGUUAAUUCUUAUGCAAGUUAUCUUAGGUUAAUUCUUCUGCAAGUUAUCUAGGUUAUAAAUAUAGGCUGUAAGACUCCUUUUGGAAUUAAGCAAUAAGAAGAUUAUCUCUAUUGCCCGGCUCCCAGAGGAGCCGGAACCCUAGCCGCCCCCUGCCUCUUGCGCUGCCGCCGCCAUCCUCCUCUCCCGCGAUGGCGCCCAGCCGUCGGCGCGGCCGCUCAUCGCCACGCCCAGCCCCCUCCUUCCCCUACUGCCUACGGCCAAGACCGGGCAGAACCCUAGCUCCUAACACAAAGCCACAACUUUUGGAAAAUUUCCCAAGCAACCACAAUUUCUAGGACAAACCUGACAUGCAUGGUCCACAUUGCAGCUCCCACGUGGAAGAAGAUAGAAAGAUUAGUGGAGUUGGGGUUGGGGUUAUACAAAAUCAGGGAUUUGUGGUAUCCCCUCUGAUCGAAGUUGUACUAAGUGAGCGUCAAUUAAUUUGGAUCGAAGGGGGUAGGAUAAAUUGGAGUCUCGAUAGAAUUUCUGUUGUGAAUGCUACUCCUUUCCUCUGGGUUUAUAAGGAGCUUUUUUUAGGGGUAGCAGUGGUGGAGCUAUGUAGUCAAAGAUGGACGGCCGGUUCAAAGGAAGGCCACUAUUGUUUGUCCUCAUAGCCCAGGUUACUUCAAUCAUAUACUGUAUUUUCUCUGGGCUGGGCGGGCCAUGGCCUAUUUUGAUAACACAUAGCCCCGCCAGUGUUUAUAAGGCUUAAUACGUAUUAAUAUUUACUUUGAAUAUCAAUUAUACCACUAACAUAUGGAAUGUAUGCCACAGAAGUACAACAUCAAAUUCAUAUUUAAAAGAAGUUUCCAACGAUAUAAUUUUUAUGGCAUACAUCUCAUAUAUUGUUGAUAGAGCUAUGGUCAAAGUAAAUAUUAAAAUACAUAUAUGCACUAUUCGGUAUGAAUGGUGAGAUAUAUCAAAAACAAUGAAAAACAUUACAUAUAUGCCUUAUAAAUCCGGAUGAAGAGAGUACCGAUUAUCUUAAUUUGUUUAUUUCGACAUAAAUUUUCCAUGGAUGGCCUGUGCAGGAGCUAUAAUGUAGCCAAUGCCGGUUAGUUUUGUGCUUAAUUCGAUACAAAAAGAGAAUUUGAAUUGUGUGAUCAAGGUGGCAACUCCAAGGGGACAGGGACGUGCUAAGUUUAAUACCUACUGGGCUAUGCUAUGCCGGUAGUAAUUACUCUAUUAGGGAAUACCGAUGGGCCAAGUUCAAUACCAAUGGGAAGUUCUUGGUGUUGGAAAUAUGCCCUAGAGACAACAAUAAAUGGUUAUUAUUACAUCUCCUUGUUCAUGAUAAUUGUCUACUGUUCAUGCUAUAAUUGUAUUAAUCGGAAACCGUAAUACAUGUGUGAAUACAUAGACCACAACAUGUCCCUAGUAAGCCUCUAGUUGACUAGCUCGUUGAUCAAUAGAUGGUUAUGGUUUCCUGACCAUGGACAUUGGAUGUCGUUGAUAACGGGAUCACAUUAUUAGAAGAAUGAUGUGAUGGACAAGACCCAAUCCUAAGCAUAGCACAAGAUCGUGUAGUUCGUUUGCUAAAGCUUUUCUAAUGUCAAGUAUCAUUUCCUUAGACCAUGAGAUUGUGCAACUCCCGGAUACCGUAGGAAUGCUUUGGGUGUGCCAAACGUCACAAUAUAACUGGGUGGCUAUAAAGGUGCAUUACGGGUAUCUCCGAAAUUAUCUGUUGGGUUGGCACGAAUCGAGGUUGGGAUUUGGCACUCCGUAUGACGGAGAGGUAUCUCUGGGCCCACUCAGUAAUGCAUCAUAAUAAUGAGCUCAAUGUGACGAAGGAGUUGGUCACGGGAUCAUGCGUUACGGAACGAGUAAAGAGACUUGCCGGUAACGAGAUUGAAUGAGGUAUGGGGAUACCGAUGAUCAAAUCUCGGGCAAGUAACAUACCGAUAGACAAAGGGAAUUGCAUACGGGAUUGAUUGAAUCCUCGACAUCGUGGUUCAUCGAUGAGAUCAUCGUGGAACAUGUGGGAGCCAACAUGGGUAUCCAGAUCCUGCUAUUGGUUAUUAGCCGGAGAGAUGUCUCGGUCAUGUCUGCAUGGUUCCCGAACCCGUAGGGUCUACACACUCAAGGUUCGAUGAUGCUAGAGUUGUUAUGGGAAAUAGUAUGUGGUUACCGAAGGUUGUUUGGAGUCCCGGAUGAGAUCCCGGAUGUGACGAGGAGUUCCGGAAUGGUCCGGAGGUGAAGAUCAAUAUAUUGGACGAAGGGUAUUGGAGUCCGAAAUUAUUCCGGGGGUACCGGGUGACGACCAGCGUGUCCGAAAGGGGUUUUGGAGGCCCCGACAAGCGUUGGGGGGCCUUAUGGGCCAAGGGGAGGGGGCACAUCAGCCCACUAAGGGGCUGAGUGCCCCUCCCACCCCAUCUAACGUAACCUAGAGAGGUGGGGGCGACUCCCCUAGGGAAGCCACCCCUUCCGGCUUGGGGGGCAAGUUUCCUAGGGGUGGGGGCGCCCAAACCCAUCUAGGGUUUCCCCUGUGGCCGCCGCCCCUCUCCUAGGAAACCCUAGGGAGCCUCCUCCACCCCUCCCCCCUAUAUAUAGUGAGGGAGAGAGAGGGCCGCGGCACCCUUCCCCUGGCUCAGCCCCUCCCCCUCUCCUACACCUCCUCCUCCUCCGUAGCGCUCGACAAAGCCCUGCCGGAGAACCACGAGCUCCAUCACCACCACGCCGUCAUGCUGUCGGAGUUCUCCCUCAACUUCUCCUAUCCCCUUGCUAGAUCAAGAAGGAGGAGACGUCCCCGGGCUGUACGUGUGUUGAACGCGGAGGCGCCGUUGUUCGGCGCUUAGAUCAGAAUCGACCGCGAUCUGAAUCGUUGCGUGUACGACUCCACCAACCGCGUUCUUGUAACGCUUCCGCUUAGCGAUCUUCAAGGCUAUGAAGAUGCACUCCCUCUCUCUCGUUGCUAGCAUCUCCUAGAUUGAUAUUGGUGACACGUAGGAAUUUUUUUGAAUUAUUGCUACGUUCCCCAACAAUGGCAUCAUGAGCUAGGUCUAUGCGUAGAUUCUAUGCACGAUUAGAACACAAAGCAGUUGUGGGCGAUGAUUUGUUCAAUUUGCUUACCGUUACUAGUCUUAUCUUGAUCCGGCGGCAUUGUGGGUGUUGGAAAUAUGCCCUAGAGGCAAUAAUAAAAUGGUUAUUAUUAUAUUUCUUUGUUCAUGAUAAUUGUCUAUUGUUCAUGCUAUAAUUGUGUUAUCCGGAAAUCGUAAUACAUGCGUGAAUACAUAGACCACAACACGUCCCUAGUGAGCCUCUAGUUGACUAGCUCAUUGAUCAAAAGAUAGUCAUGGUUUCCUGACUAUGGACAUUGGAUGUCAUUGAUAACGGGAUCACAUCAUUAGGAGAAUGAUGUGAUGGACAAGACCCAAUCCUAAGCAUAGCUCAAAGAUCGUGUAGUUCAUUUGCUAUAGCUUUUCCGAAUGUCAAGUAUCAUUUCCUUAGACCAUGAGAUUGUGCAACUCCCGGAUACCGUAGGAGUGCUUUGGGUGUGCCAAACGUCACAACGUAACUGGGUGACUAUAAAGGUACACUACGGGUAUCUCCGAAAGUGUUUGUUGGGUUGGCACGAAUCAAGACUGGGAUUUGUCACUCCGUAUGACGGAGAGGUAUCUCUAGGCCCACUCGGUAAUGCAUCAUCAUAACGAGCUCAAUGUAACCAAGUGGUUGAUCACGGGAUCAUGCAUUACGGUAUGAGUAAAGUUACUUGCCGGUAACGAGAUUGAACGAGGUAUUGGGAUACCGACGAUCGAGUCUCGGGCAAGUAACAUACCGAUUGACAAAGGGAAUUGUAUACGGGAUUGAUUGAAUCCUCGACAUCGUGGUUCAUCCGAUGAGAUCAUCGAGGAGCAUGUGGGAGCCAACAUGGGUAUCCAGAUCCCGCUGUUGGUUAUUGACCGGAGAGUCGUCUCGGUCAUGUCUGCGUGUCUCCCGAACCCGUAGGGUCUACACACUUAAGGUUCGGUGACGCUAGGGUUGUUGAGAUAUUAGUAUACGGUAACCCGAAAGUUGUUCGGAGUCCCGGAUGAGAUCCCGGACGUCACGAGGAGUUCCGGAAUGGUCCAGAGGUGAAGAUUUAUAUAUAGGAAGUCAAGUUUCGGCCAUCGGGAAAGUUUCAAGGGUAAUCGGUAUUGUACCGGGACCACCGGAAGGGUCCCGGGGGUCCACCGGGUGGGGCCACCUAUCCCGGAGGGCCCCAUGGGAUGAAGUGGGAGGGGAACCAGCCCCUAGUGGGCUGGUGCGCCCCCAUGGGCCUCCCCCUGCGCCUAGGGUUGGAAAUCCUAGGGGUGGGGGGCGGCCCACUUGGCUUGGGGGGCACUCCACCCCCUUGGCCGCCACCCCCUUGGAGAUCUCAUCUCCUAGGGCCGGUGCCCCCCUAGGGGUCCUAUAUAUAGUGGGGGGAGGGAGGGCAGCCGACCCCUUGCCCCUGGCGCCUCCCUCUCCCUCCCGUGACACUCCUCCCUCUCCCUAAGCUUGGCGAAGCCCUGCCGAGAUCACCGUUGCUUCCACCACCACGCCGUCGUGCUGCUGGAUCUCCAUCAACCUCUCCUUCCCCCUUGCUGGAUCAAGUUGGAGGAGACGUCUUCCCAACCGUACGUGUGUUGAACGCGGAGGUGUCGUCCGUUCGGCGCUAGGUCAUCGGUGAUUUGGAUCACGACGAGUACGACUCCAUCAACCCCGUUCUCUUGAACGCUUCCGCUCGCGAUCUACAAGGGUAUGUAGAUGCACUCUCCUCUCCCUCAUUGCUAGAUGACUCCAUAGAUUGAUCUUGGUGAUGCGUAGCAAAUUUUAAAAUUCUUCUACGUUCCCCAAUAGUGGCAUCAUGAGCUAGGUCUAUGCGUAGUUUCUAUGCACGAGUAGAACACAAAGCAGCUGUGGGCGUCAAUAUUGUCAAUUUUCUUGCCGUUACUAGUCUUAUCUUGAUUCGGCGGCAUCGUGGGAUGAAGCGGCCCGGACCGACCUUACACGUACGCUUACGUGAGACUGGUUCCACCAAUUGACAUGCACUAGUUGCAUAAGGUGGCUGGCGGGUGUCUGUCUCUCCCACUUUAGUUGGAUCGGAUUCGAUGAAAAGGGUCCUUAUGAAGGGUAAAUAGAAAUUGGCAUAUCACGUUGUGGUUUUGGCGUAGGUAAGAAACGUUCUUGCUAGAAACCUAUAGCAGCCACGUAAAAACUUGCAACAACAAUUAGAGGACGUCUAACUUAUUUUUGCAGCAUGUGCCGUGUGAUGUGAUAUGGCCAAAAGGAUGUGAUGAAUGAUAUAUGUGAUGUAUGAGAUUGAUCAUGUUCUUGUAAUAGGAAUCACGACUUGCAUGUCGAUGAGUAUGACAACCGACAGGAGCCAUAGGAGUUGUCUUAAUUUAUUUAUGACCUGCGUGUCAACAUAAACGUCAUGUAAUUACUUUACUUUAUUGCUAAAGCGUUAGCCAUAGUAGUAGAAGUAAUAGAUGACGAGACAACUUCAAUAAGACACGAUGAUGGAGAUCAUGGUGUCAUGCCGGUGAAAACGAUGAUCAUGGAGCCCCGAAGAUGGAGAUCAAAAGGAGCAAAUGAUAUUGGCCAUAUCAUGUCACUAUUUGAUUGCAUGUGAUGUUUAUCAUGUUUUGCAUCUUAUUUGCUUAGAACGAUGGUAGCUUAAAUAAGAUGAUCCCUCGUAAUAAUUUCAAGAAGGUGUUCCCCCUAACUGUGCACCGUUGCGAAGGUUUGUUGUUUCGAAGCACCACGUGAUGAUCAGGUGUGAUAGAUUCUAACGUUCGAAUACAACGGGUGUAAGCCAGAUUUACACACGCAAUACACUUAGGUUGACUUGACAAGCCUAGCAUGUACAGACAUGGCCUCGGAACACGGAAGACCGAAAGGUCGAGCAUGAGUCAUAUAGAAGAUAUGAUCAACAUGAAGAUGUUCACCGAUGUUGACUAGUCCGUCUCACGUGAUGAUCGGACAUGGCCUAGUUGACUCGGAUCAUGUUUCACUUAGAUGACUAGAGGGAUGUCUAUCUGAGUGGGAGUUCAUUGAAUAAUUUGAUUAGAUGAACUUAAUUAUCAUGAACUUAGUCUAAAAUCUUUACACUAUGUCUUGUAGAUCAAAUGGCCCACGCUAAUGUUGCCCUCAACUUCAACGCAUUCCUAGAGAAAACCAAGCUGAAAGAUGAUGGCAGCAACUAUACGGACUGGGUCCAGAACCUGAGGAUCAUCCUCAUAGCUGCCAAGAAAGAUUAUGUCCUAGAAGCACCGCUAGGUGACGCACCCAUCCCAGAGAACCAAGACGUUAUGAACGCUUGGCAGUCACGUGCUGAUGAUUACUCCCUCGUUCAGUGCGGCAUGCUUUACAGCUUAGAACCGGGGCUCCAAAAGCGUUUUGAGCGACACGGAGCAUAUGAGAUGUUCGAAGAGCUGAAAAUGGUUUUCCAAGCUCAUGCCUGGGUCGAGAGAUAUGAAGUCUCCGACAAGUUCUUCAGUUGUAAGAUGGAGGAAAAUAGUUCUAUCAGUGAGCACAUACUCAAAAUGUCUGGGCUGCAUAACCGCUUGACUCAGCUGGGAGUUAAUCUCCCAGAUGACGCGGUCAUUGACAGAAUCCUUCAGUCGCUCCCACCGAGCUACAAGAGCUUUGUGAUGAACUUCAAUAUGCAGGGGAUGGAAAAGACCAUUCCUGAGGUAUAUACAAUGCUGAAAUCAGCGGAGGUGGAAAUCAAAAAGGAACAUCAAGUGUUGAUGGUGAAUAAAACCACUAAGUUCAAGAAAGGCAAGGGUAAAAAGAACUUCAAGAAGGACGGCAAGGGAGUUGCCGCGCCCGGUAAGCAAGCUGCCGGGAAGAAGCCAAAGAAUGGACCCAAGCCCGAGACUGAGUGCUUUUAUUGCAAGGGAAGUGGUCACUGGAAGCGGAACUGCCCCAAAUACUUAGCAGACAAGAAGGCCGGCAACACUAAAGGUAUAUGUGAUAUACAUGUAAUUGAUGUGUACCUUACCAGUACUCGUAGUAGCUCCUGGGUAUUUGAUACCGGUGCGGUUGCUCACAUUUGUAACUCAAAGCAGGAGCUGCGGAAUAAGCAGAGACUGGCGAAGGACGAGGUGACAAUGCACGUCGGGAAUGGUUCCAAGGUCGAUGUGAUCGCCGUCGGCACGCUGCCUCUACAUUUACCUACGGGAUUAGUUUUAAACCUCAACAAUUGUUAUUUAGUGCCAGCUUUGAGCAUGAACAUUGUAUCAGGAUCUCAUUUAAUUUGAGAUGGCUACUCAUUUAAAUCCAAGAAUAAUGGUUGUUCUAUUUAUAUGAGAGAUAUGCUUUAUGGUCAUGCUCCGCUGGUGAAUGGUUUAUUCUUAAUGAAUCUCGAGCGUAAUGUUACACAUAUUCAUAGUGUGAAUACCAAAAGAUGUAAGGUUGAUAAUGAUAGUCCCACAUACUUGUGGCACUGCCGCCUUGGUCACAUAGGUGUCAAACGCAUGAAGAAGCUCCAUGCAGAUGGACUUUUGGAGUCUCUUGAUUACAAAUCAUUUGACACGUGCGAACCAUGCCUCAUGGGUAAAAUGACCAAGACUCCGUUCUCAGGAACAAUGGAGCGAGCAACCAACUUAUUGGAAAUCAUACAUACUGAUGUGUGCGGUCCAAUGAGUGUUGAGGCUCGCGGUAGCUAUCGUUAUGUUCUCACCCUCACUGAUGACUUAAGUAGAUAUGGGUAUGUCUACUUAAUGAAACACAAGUCUGAGACUGUCCGGACCCUGAUUCCAAGUCACAUUGAUCUAGCCGGUAACACCUCAUAUCACUUUGCGGCCUCACGCACGGUAUCCCACGGGUGUCGCCUUACCAUGGCCCAGGACCGUUUGCGCCUUUUGGCUCACGUAUAUGAUAGUGUCGCUAGCAUCCAUAUACAGAGAACCCGGGCCGACAUGGCUAGUCAUGAACCCAAAGCGGCACAGACCUAUGGAGAUAGGCAUACAUGAAUCACAUCGAGCAUGUCGGUCAUCAACGAUUGAUUCCGGGCUGUAGCACUGGGCUAACAGGACUCCGGGGAACCCGGGCUGUAGCAGGCUAGGCAGGACUCCGGAAGUCACAGCGUGACAUUUCCCCGAAGGGACAGGCAUAGGAACGAAGUGAAACACAUGCCGGCCAGUCAAGUGUCCUGAACAGCAGUGCUAGGCUAGCAGGACUCCGAUGAACCGGGCUGUAGCGGACUACUAUGGCUCGAGGAACACUAGACUACAUUUCCCCAUAAGAAAGGCUGCCAAGGAUAAACAACUAGAUUGUCGGAUCCCACUCAUACCAAGCAUUUCAAUCAUACACACAAUAUGCCCGAUAUGAGUACAUACAACAUGGCAUCACAACAAAACUCUACAACCCAAGUACUUUAUUUAAAGGCUCCAGGGAGCCAUACAUAACAUGUUCAUACAGAUAGGGUCACAUGACCCGACACUCAAGUCAUUCAAACAUACAAGCACAUGCGGAAGCAACUAGUCUGAGUACAGACUCUAGAAAAAAAAGAAGACUUCUCGAAGCCUGUCUAUCUACAUAGGGCCCUCCAUGGCCAGGAUCACCACCUGGGUGGCUAGUCACUCGUUGACGUCAAGGUCUACAUAAAACCCAUCAGAGGGGGCAGUAUUGUCGUCUGAAAACAAUAAAUAAGCAAACAUGAGUACAAGAUACUCAGCAAGUCUUACAUCAGAACCUAAUAUACAUGCUCAUUCUCGAGAAGGUGGUGGGGUUAUUGCAGCAAGCCAGCUUUGACUCUUGGCUAAGCUAUCCUAUGGAACUUCACCAGUAAAAUAGUUUUCGCACACGAGUCCACUACUCACCAACACAAUACUCCACCGUGGAUCCUCCCUCGUCAUCCUACGAGAGGGCCAUCCUCGAUACUCACACUUAUCUUGAGUCUUUUAGUAGUACCCAUUAACUUGUCUAUGAACUGUAUAGGCAACCAAGUAGUCCUUUACCGCGGACGCGGCUAUUCGAAUAGUUUUAUACCCUGCAGGGGUGUACUUCGUCAUACACGCUUUCACCACUUACCGCCGUUUACACGACAUGUACUCGGCAACCUUCAAGCGGAAUCCCAGCGAGGGUGUCGGCCACGGCCUACCUAAACACUUAAGUCUCUAGUCCAGGUUUAUCGCCUAUCCAGGCUCCAUCCGCAGGGAGUCCGGCCGAGGUUUCCACAUACGGCCCCGAAUGAUGUGAACAGGGUUCCCGAGACACCAAACGGGUGACUCGGUACACCGUGCCACGGUGUAUCUACCGCAACAUAGCCCACCCCUAGGGUCAGCGCUACGCACGGCUGCCAACACAUAACCUACAAACACCAUAAACUAUUUGCAACUCCUGGACAGAGUACUAGGGUGGUUAAGAAGCCGAGAGGGUCAAUUAAGGAUCCCAAUGCAUGGUAGUAGCUGAAUCUUAAAUCACACAUACAUAUCUCAGUUCUUAGGGACGACCUCAAUGAAACAACCCACCAUGUACUCCUACAUGGCCUCUCAUCGAUACCUUUACCAAAACAUGUUCAACACAUCCCUCACAUUACCAACAUAAGCAUUUCACUCUAGCCCAUCACCCAGAUGAACCAGACCUGACACAACUCUAAGCAUAGCAGGCAUAGCAAGGUAGGAAUCACAUACAUGGCUCAAUCAACUCCUACACAUGCUAGUGGGUUUCAUCUAGUUACUGUGGCAAUGACAGGUCAUGCAGAGGAUAAGGGUUCAACUACCAUAGCACACAACAGAUUGAAACACGUUGUCUUAAUGCAGUGAACAAGAGCAGAAGCGAGAACAUGGGUUGUAUCGGAAUGAUCAAUGGUUGCUUGCCUGAUGGAGUGGUAGUGGGAUACUGCCCUUCAGUUGGAUACUCGUGAAUAUCCUCGGAGGCAGAACCUACCACGAAGAACACAUCGGAACACAAUCAACACAUGACGAUAUGCAACAAUAUGAUGCAUGCUAUGACAUGGCAAUAUGAAUGUGUCUUGGCCUAAUGCAAGCUAUAAUAGAAAGGAAUGAACUCAUUUGAAUCAAAGAUUCAAAUAUUAGCUCAUUAAACAUGGCCUUAAUAGUGCAUUCCCUUAUUCUGCUUCAACAGCAAGGUAAACUUGUUUUUUCAUGCAUGAAACCAUUACAGACGGAUAUAUUGAAUUUUUUUGAUCAUUUUUCAUAUAUAAAUCUUUGCAUUUGGAGCUAUGGUUGAUUUUCUAUGAUUUUUAGAAGUUUUAACUAUUUUCUGGAAUUUCCUGAAUAAAAAUAAAUCCAGAAAAUGCAUUACUGCGUCAGCAUUGCGUCAUGCUGACCUCAGCAGGUCAAAGGCGCCAGCCCAGGUCAAACUUGACUGGUGGUCCCCUUCUGUCAGCCUCUCAGCUAAUUAACAGGAUUAGAUUAACACUAAUUAGCUGUCAGUGGGGCCUGGGCCCACAUGUCAGUGACUGAUUUAAUUAAAAUUAAUUAAAACUAAUCCUAAAUUAGUUAGCAGACCGGCCCCACCUGUCAUAGACUCAGGAGGGUCUACCUGGGCCCACCCAGGAGUCAAACUGGGUCAAACUCGCCGGCGACUCGACGCCGGCGAGGCCCGAGACGGUGGCGCAGCUCGGAAAACGCCCAGAGGGCACGGGCAAGGCCGUUCUUGGGCUCGUUGGAGAGCUCUUGCAGUCGCGCAUCUAGUGGUGGUGGAGGCCGGGCCUACGGUGGCCGGAGACGACGACGACGAGCUCCAAGGCGGCGGCCGGAGUUUGGCCAUGUGCGGGGAGUGGGCUGCGGCGUGCAAACACGGAAACUGAAGCGCUAGCGAGGCACUACGCGAUGCGGCAAGCAUGUUGCAUAGCACGGGAGGACCAAAUGGUCGCUGGAGCGACACCGGCGACGAGCUCGAGCGAAGACGAGCUUCGGCCAUGGUGGAACUAUGGCCUAGAGGGUGCAAACGCGUGGGAAAGAAGAGGGGAAAAGCGGCAGAGCUCAUAGGGAGGUCGAUGAGCAGCUCAGUGGGAUCGGGGGCGACCGGAGCGAGGCGAAUCGAUGAACGGCGUCCGGCGGGUACCGAGGUUGAAGACGAUCCGAUGGCGGCGAUGCAGGGCCUCCGGCGAUGCGUGGCUCGGUGGGGAGGGCGAGGGCGUCGCGGCGGAGCUUCUGGACAGGUCAGAGAGGCGAGGGGGUGACGGAGAGCGCGACUACGGCGGUGAGACGGCGACAAGCUCGUCGGCCAUGGUGUAGGAGAGGGUGAGGGAGACGAGGCGAGAGUGAGCGAGGAUGAGAGGGGGACGUGGGGGUCGCGUGGCACCCCUAGGCGUCUCCAGGCAUCGGCGGAAGCAGGAGGUGGCCGACGUGUGGCCGCGGGCGCCGGCCACGCGCUCCGCGUCCUUCUGGCGCGAGGAGGACGACGACUGGUAGAGCCAGUAGGCUGGGCCGAGCCAGGUGGCUGGGCCAGCACAGGUAAGGCCCGGGUGGGCUUCCCUCUCUCUCUCUCUCUCUUUAUUUGUUUCUGUUUUUCUAAUUAACUGCAACUGUCGGGCUUUAAAUAAAAUACUAAAACAUUUCCAAAAAUCCUGAAAAUAAUUGUGGGCUCUGUUUAGAUUAUUUCCAACAGCAAACAUUUAUUUCCAGGAUUAUUUGAGCAUUUAAAUUAUUUCAUAGCAUUUAAAUGCCCAAAUUCAAAUACUUAUGAUUUAAUUCAAUGACCUUCUAUUGACCUAGAAAAUUCUGCACCAAUUUUGCCAGAAGUUUUAACCCAAGACAAGGAGGGUGAACUUUUUAGAAGGGCAUUUUAGGUUCAUUGAAAAUAAUUUUAGUAAACCCUAGUUGUUUCCAGGGGGGUGUUGGGGGUUUCUGCUUUCCCCAUUUCAAAUUUAAGAGAAAUUUAAACAUGAUGCACACUCUAAUGCUUGAACUAGCUAGGGUGUGACAACUCACCCCCACUCAAAAGAAUCUCGUCCCGAAAUUUAGGAUCCUCUGGGAAGAAGGUGGGGUACUCAAGUCGAAGACGAUCCUCCCUUUCCCAAGUGGCUUCUUUCUCGGAAUGGUGUGACCAUUGAACCUUGAGAAACUUGAUAUUCUGACGUCGAGUGGUACGCUCGGCCUGAUCAAGGAUACGAACGGGAUAUUCCUGAUAGGAGAGGUUAUCAUGUAGAUCAAGCGUUUCGUGGUCCACUCCACGGAUAGGAUCCGCGAAGCAACGCCUGAGUUGUGAAACGUGGAAGACAUUGUGAACUCUGGAAAGAUGCGGAGGUAGUUCCAAUUGGUAGGCAACUUCUCCUCGUUUGGCAAGAAUGCGAAAGGGUCCAAUGUAACAAGGGGCCAAUUUGCCUUUGAUACUGAAAUGAUGGGUUCCCUUUAAUGGAGUAACCCGAAGGUAAGCCUUCUCGUCGACUUCAUAAGUCAUAGGCUUAUGUUUACGAUCAUAUUGACUCUUUUGACGAGAUUGGGCUGUUUUCAAUUUCUCACGAAUAACGCGAACCUGCUCUUCUGCUUCCUGAAUCAUAUCCGGGCCAAAGAGUUGUCUUUCCCCGGUUUCUGACCAGUUAAGAGGCGUUCGACAUUUUCGUCCAUAGAGAACUUCGAAAGGAGCCUUGCCCAAGCUGGCUUGAUAACUAUUGUUAUAAGCAAACUCCGCGAAUGGAAGGCAUUUCUCCCAACUCAUUCCGAAUGAGAUGACAGAAGCUCGGAGCAUAUCUUCCAGAAUUUGAUUGACUCGCUCUACUUGACCACUUGAUUGAGGAUGGAAGGCAGUACUAAAAGAGAGACGAGUUCCCGUAGCAUUUUGGAAACUUUCCCAAAAUCGAGAGGUGAAGAGACUCCCACGGUCUGAGUUAAUUUCCAAUGGAACACCAUGAAGAGACACUAUCAGGGAGAUGUAUAAAUCAGCUAGCUGGCUAGCGGUGAUACUCUCAUGAACAGGUAGAAAGUGGGCUACUUUGGAAAGACGGUCGAUCACGAUGAAGAUGGCAUUAUUCCCUCUCUUGGUCCUGGGAAACCCAGUGAUGAAAUCCAUACUGAUUUUAUCCCAUUUCCACUCGGGAAUAGCCAAAGGUUGAAGGGUGCCAGCAGGCCGUUGAUGCUCUGCUUUAACACGACGACAAACGUCGCAAUUAGCAAUGUAUUGAGCGAUUUCUCUCUUCAUCCUAGUCCACCAAAACCUCUGGCGUAGGUCUUGAUACAUUUUAGUACUACCGGGAUGAAUGGUGAGAGGGAUUCAUGAGCUUCCUUAAGGAUCAACUGGUGCAGAUGUUGUUUCUUGGGAACCACCAAAUGGUUCUCGAAGAAGACAACACCUCGCUCAUCCAUGGAGAAACAUUUAGCAACUCCGCUAGCGAUGUUUUCCUUAAUCCGGGAUAUGCCCUUAUCAUACCGCUGGGCGGUUAUGAUUUGAUCCAUAAGGGUAGGUUUCGCCACCAGGGUGGAUAAGAAUCCUUGAGGAACAAUGUGAAGAUUUAGCUUAUGAAAUUCCUCAUGGAGAAAUGGUUGACUUUGUUGUAACAUCAGGUUGUUACAAUAGGACUUACGGCUUAGCGCAUCAGCCAUGACAUUGGCUUUCCCCGGGGUGUAAGUUAUUCCUAAGUCGUAAUCCGAGAUCAACUCAACCCAACGUCUUUGCCUGAGAUUCAAAUCUGGUUGGGUGAAGAUAUAUUUCAAACUUUGGUGAUCGGUGAAGAUCUCGCAACGAUUACCGAGAAGGUAAUGUCGCCAAGUUUUAAGUGCAUGGACUACAGCUGCAAGCUCUAGAUCAUGUGUGGGAUAAUUUUCCUCAUGUGGGUGUAAUUGCCGUGAAGCAUAGGCAAUUACCUGACAAUCUUGCAUGAGUAUGCAACCUAGUCCUUGUCGCGAGGCGUCGCAAUAGAUAAUAAAGUCCUUGGAGAAAUCUGGUGGUACCAGUACGGGAGCAGAUGUCAGGCGUCUUUUCAGUUCCUGAAAACUGAACUCGCACUGUGGAGUCCACUCGAACUUUUUAUCUUUCUUGAGGAGUUCAGUUAGAGGUUUAGCAACCUUGGAGAAAUUCUCGACGAAGCGGCGGCAAUAGCUCGCUAAGCCAAGGAAACUCCGAACUUGCUUGACCGUCUCAGGUGGAGUCCAAUCAAGGACGGCUUGAACUCGCUCGGGAUUGACAGCAAUACCCUUGCCAGAGAUUACAUGGCCUAGAUAGGUCACUUCUGGCAACCAAAAUUCACACUUGGAGAAUUUGGCAUAAAGGCGAUGCUCUCGAAGUUUCAUCAAUACCAGCCUUAGAUGUUCGGCAUAUUCCUCUUCAUUCUUGGAGUAGAUGAGUAUGUCAUCGAGGUAUACCACGACGAAUUUAUCCAAGUACUCCAUGAAAACCGAGUUCAUUAACCGAGAGAAGGUAGCUGGGGCAUUGGUUAAACCGAAGGACAUGAUGGUGUACUCGUAUUGGCCAUAACGAGUAACAAAGGCCGUUUUGGGAAUGUCCCCGUUUCUGAUUUUGAUUUGAUGGUAGCCCAACCUCAAAUCCAUCUUGGAAAAGACUGAGGAUCCAGCGAGCUGAUCAUACAGAUCGUUAAUCCUAGGAAGCGGGUAUUUGUUCUUGAUGGUGACCAGGUUGACAGGGCGGUAGUCCACAACCAUUCAAUCCGUUCCAUCCUUCUUCUUGACAAAGAGGACGGGGCAAGCCCAAGGAGAGGGACUAGGACGGAUGAAACCCUUUUUCAAGGACUCAUCGAGUUGGUUCUUAAGCUCGGCUAGUUCUAAGGGUGCCAUCUUGUAGGGUCUUCUAGAAAUUGGCACGAUUCCUGGAACAAGGUCUAUCACAAACUCGACAUCCCUGUCAGGUGGAACACCUGGCAGUUCUUCUGGAAAGACAUCCGGAAAGUCUCGGACUAUCGGAACAUCCUCAAGGUCUGGAAGGGGGUUGGCAUUUAGGGAGUAAAGCUGGCGCUUGGCCACUCGAGUUAAGACAUUAACUGUCUUGCCCGAUGGGUGAGUAAGCUGAACAGUUCUAGUGGCACAAUCAAUCUUAGCGUAAUGAGCUGACAUCCAGUCCAUACCCAAGAUGAUGUUUAUGUCCGUGGACUUGAGAGCUAUCAAGGAUGCAAGGAAGACAAGUCUAUCGACAAGAAUUUCGUUCCCAUGACUUACUCUAGAAGUUUGCCAUUUGGAACCCGGAGUUUGAAUUACCAUGGAAGUGGGCAUGUCACAGAAUGUCGUGUUAUGCAAUCGAGCAUAGCUCUCGGAUAUGAAUGAAUGAGAUGCUCCAGUAUCGAAAAGAACAGAUGCCGGAUGACAGUUAACAAGGAGCGUACCAAGGACGACGUUGGGAUCCUCAUGAGCCUCCUCGGCUGAAACAUAGUUGACAUGGCCACGGGCAGUGGUGACCGGCUUGGCGUAGAAUGUCUUUCCCGCGGGCUUACCACGGCCAAUGGACUUUCCAGUCUGCAUGGGGUUGUUGUUUUGGGGACACUCUCGGCUAUAGUGACCCGGUUCUCCACACUUAAAGCAUGUCAUCACAUUGGGGCGUGGAGCAGCAUUAGCAGCGGGGCCACCAUAGGGCUUGGGCGGUGCAAAUUGCUGGUUGGGACAAGGCGCCUCAAAGGAUGGCCUCGGGAUGAACCUGGGUGGCAGUGUCGUGCUUGGGAUCCACACCCGGCGCUUCUGAGCUCCAGAGCCGGAUGAGGAGCCAAAGUCACGGGAGUGCUUGCGUGAAGCGUCAUAAUCAGUCUGGCCUGUCUCAGCACUGAUGGAUUUAUUAACCAACUUCUGAAAGGAGGUGCACUCGUGCAGACGAAGAUCGCGGCGAAGCUCAGGGCUAAGUCCCUUGCGGAACCUUGCUUGCUUCUUAGCGUCAGUAGAUACCUCUUCAGGAGCAUAGCGUGCCAGAUUUCCAAAUUCACGACUAUAAGCAUCCACAGCCAGUCUUACUUGGGUGAAGUUGCAGAAUUCCUCCCUCUUGCGAUCCAUGAGACCUUCCGGAAUGUGAUGCUCAUGGAAAGCCUCACUGAAUUCAGCCCAAGUAGUGAUUUGGCCGACCGGGCGCAUAGCUUCGAAGUUUUCCCACCAAAGGCUAGCAGGGCCUUCGAGGUGAUAGGCAGCAUAGGUAACCUUGUCGGCUUCGGCUACGUUGGCAGAAUGUAGCUUGUGGGUAAUGCUGCGAAGCCAGUCAUCCGCGUUGAGGGGUUCGACGGAAUGGUUAAACUUUGGUGGGUACAGCUUGAUAAAGUCAUUGAUCGACACCAAGUCAUUUCGCGGGUGGCGUGCAGUGUUCUGCUCAAUCCGCUCUAGCAGGCGGUUAGUCUCACGCUUGUUUCUUUCCGCCUCCAGCAUUACUUCGGCCAGAGAAGGCAGGUGAGGCAGAUUUUCACCCCUAGCUGCACUGGCUUCCCCCUGCUCCGAGGCAGCAGGGUUGCUGCGGGUGUUGACCAUCCUAGGAGAAAACAAGACAAUGGUUUAGAUAAGGAUGGCUCAAACUUAGCAAGGAAGUGCAGAAUGUAAUGGAUAACACGGAAUGCAGAGAUGUUCAUGAAGGAAAUAUGCCCUAGAGGCAAUAAUAAAGUUAUUAUUUAUUUCCUUAUUUCAUGAUAAAUGUUUAUUAUUCAUGCUAGAAUUGUAUUAAUCGGAAACAUAAUACAUGUGUGAAUACAUAGACAAACAGAGUGUCACUAGUAUGCCUCUACUUGACUAGCUCGUUAAUAAAAGAUGGUUAUGUUUCCUGACCAUGAACAAAGUGUUGUUAUUUGAUUAACGAGGUCACAUCAUUAGUUGAAUGAUCUGAUUGACAUGACCCAUUCCAUUAGCUUAGCACCCGAUCGUUUAGUAUGUUGCUAUUGCUUUCUUCAUGACUUAUACAUGUUCCUAUAACUAUGAGAUUAUGCAACUCCCGUUUACCGGAGGAACACUUUGGGUACUACCAAACGUCACAACGUAACUGGGUGAUUAUAAAGGAGUACUACAGGUGUCUCCAAAGGUACAUGUUGGGUUGGCGUAUUUCGAGAUUAGGUUUUGUCACUUCGAUUGUCGGAGAGGUAUCUCUGGGCCCUCUCGGUAAUGCACAUCACAUAAGCCUUGCAAGCAUUGCAACUAAUGAGUUAGUUGCGGGAUGAUGUAUUACAGAACGAGUAAAGAGACUUGCCGGUAACGAGAUUGAACUAGGUAUUGGAUACCGACGAUCGAAUCUCGGGCAAGUAACAUACCGGUGACAAAGGGAACAACGUAUGUUGUUAUGCGGUCUGACCGAUAAAGAUCUUCGUAGAAUAUGUAGGAGCCAAUAUGGGCAUCCAGGUCCCGCUAUUGGUUAUUGACCGGAGACAUGUCUCGGUCAUGUCUACAUUGUUCUCGAACCCGUAGGGUCCGCAUGCUUAAGGUUACGAUGACAGUUAUAUUAUGAGUUUAUGCAUUUUGAUGUACCGAAGGUUGUUCGGAGUCCCGGAUAUGAUCACGGACAUGACGAGGAGUCUCGAAAUGGUCGAGACAUAAAGAUUGAUAUAUUGGAAGCCUAUGUUUGGAUAUCGGAAGUGUUAUGGGUGAAAUCGGGAUUUUACCGGAGUACCGGGAAGGUUACCAGAACCCCCCGGGAGCUAAAUGGGCCAUGAUGGGCCUUAGUGGAAAAGAGAAGAGGCAGCCCUACAUGGGCUGCGCACCUCCCCAUUCCCCUAGUCCUAUUAGGACUAGGAGAGGUGGCCGGCCCCGUCUCUCUCUUUUCCCCCUCCGCGAAUCCUAUUCCAACUAGGAUUGGGGGGGGGGGGGAAUCCUACUCCCAGAGGGAGUAGAACUCUCCUGGCGCACCCCUUGUGGCCGGCCAGCCUCCCCCCUUUGGUCCUUUAUAUACUGAGGUAGAGGCACCCUAGAACAGACAAGUUGAUCCACGUGAUCUAUUCCUUAGCCGUGUGCGGUGCCCCCAACCACCAUAUUCCUCGAUAAUACUGUAGCAGAGUUUAGGCGAAGCCCUGCUGCUGUAGUACAUCAAGAUCGUCACCACGCCGUCAUGCUGACGGAACUCUUCCCCGACACUUUGCUGGAUCGGAGUCCCGGGAUCGUCAUCGAGCUGAACGUGUGCUCGAACUCGGAGGUGCCGUAGUUUCGGUGCUUGAUCGGUUGGAUCGUGAAGACGUACGACUACUUCCUCUACGUUGCGUCAACGCUUCCGCAGUCGGUCUGCGUGGGUACGUAGACAACACUCUCCCAUCUCGUUGCUAUGCAUCACAUGAUCUUGCGUGAGCGUAGGAAUUUUUUUGAAAUUACUACGAAACCCAACAGUUCAUCCGUAUGUCAUGGUAAUAUAAAACUGCCAUAUAUAUACCAACAGUCAUACACAUCAUACAUAGUUUAGUACAAGCCCAGGCUACAGUACAACUAUGAUGAAAGACAUUACAUCUCAUCGGAGGCAUUCCAAGCUCCUAUACAUUAUUUUUCUACACCUCCGGAAUUGACUACACACUAAGUCGUAUUCCACAAGUCACACAGGACAGUGGAGAUACAACUACUACAAUACUAGUGGUACUACUACUAACUCAGACAGCUCCGUAGUAGUCCUCAUAGAAGUCACCUCCAUAGCCUGGAAGUUCAACGUGACCAUCCGGGAACAGAUGGUCCUGAGGAGCCUGUGGACCAUAGGGGCUAGGAUGAGGUCUUGGACCAACAAACGGUGGCCUGCGGGGACCACGGGGUGGGGUGAUGCCUCCCACAUCACGCUAAUCCACCAUGUCUGGCAGAGCUGAUCUCACAGGAUACAGAUCCCUUGUAUCCAUACAUCCAGCUUGCACCGCAGGUGCAAACCGAGUCAAUGUGGCCCAAUGAUCAGCACGGGUAUUGAAAAGCUCCAGCCUCAAGGCCCGAUUCUCUCGGUCCUUAUCUUCGAGCAUCUCGACAGUGGUAUGAGUUAAUGAGUCCUCCUGAGUGGAGUCAGCAUAGAUAGCCUAAAGAUACCCUUGCGCUCCCGGAAGUGAAGCUGGCAUGUAAUGGAAGUUGGUGUUCCGAAGCAGGCCAGUCCGGACUCGCAAGAUGGUCAUCAUGGAAUAGGCAGCAUCCUGCACAGCCAUCUCAACAGUAAUCCCGAGUCCAUAGGAACAGUGAAGGGGCUCGGUAGAUCCAGGAUAAGAAGGAAAUAUCCCGACGGUGCAGAGAUAUUGGCUUUGAUUAAAGUCGCGGAACUGCUCUUCGACGGUGUAUUCGGGAUACCAACGGUAGCCCGUCUCGAUCAUUACCCGGACUAACAUAGCAGUAUGACCAGGCACGUCAAGGCACCGGGUCAGGCGAACCACUUGGUUUUGAACACGGUUGGCCAUCUGAAAGCACAACCACAAUGCAAAGACAUCAGAAUUUCUAGGGAAAAUUGGACAGCAUAACAGCUGUAAAUGCUCAGAAAAAGAUUUGAGACAUCCACAACAGUUCGCAAUACCACUCAACAACAUCAUAUCAAGAUUCUGAUCCAAUUAGCAACAUACUAAAAUAGUAGAAACUGAACUGGGGCUUGUAGCAUCAAUCCUAUAAGCUACUACGAAUUAGUAACAUGUGAACCUGAUAGAAGGAGAGAGCCUAGUCCUUAACCCACGUUGAAUGAGAAGAGAAUGACUCAGAUCAGAGGCAUAGGGUAAAGGAGUAAAAGAGCCUUACGUUCCCUCCCACAAUCAAUUCCCCUACAUAUAACUAAAGCAUUUCUAGACUCGACAUCGACCAGUUUGGCUCAACGAACCUACAGGCAGUCCAGCUCUGAUACCAACACUGUCCGGACCCUGAUUCCAAGUCACAUCGAUCUAGCCGGUAACACCUCAUAUCACUUUGCGGCCUCACGCACGGUAUCCCACGGGUGUCGCCUUACCAUGGCCCGGGACCGUUUGCGCCUUUUGGCUCACGUAUAUGAUAGUGUCGCUAGCAUCCAUAUGACAGAGAACCCGGGCCGACAUGGCUAGUCAUGAACCCAAAGCGGCACAGACCUAUGGAGACAGGCAUACAUGAAUCACAUCGAGCAUGUCGGUCAUCAACGAUUGAUUCCGGGCUGUAGCACUGGGCUAACAGGACUCCGUGGAACCCGGGCUGUAGCAGGCUAGGCAGGACUCCGGAAGUCACAGCGUGACAUUUCCCCGAAGGGACAGACAUAGGAACGAAGUGAAACACAUGCCGGCCAGUCAAGUGUCCUGAACAGCAGUGCUAGGCUAGCAGGACUCCGGUGAACCGGGCUGUAGCGGACUACUAUGGCUCGAGGAACACUAGACUAUAUUUCCCCAUAAGAAAGGCUGCCAAGGAUAAACAACUAGAUUGUCGGAUCCCACUCAUACCAAGCAUUUCAAUCAUACACACAAUAUGCCCGAUAUGAGUACAUACAACAUGGCAUCACAACAAAACUCUACAACUCAAGUACUUUAUUUAAAGGCUCCAGGGAGCCAUACGUAACAUGUUCAUACAGAUAGGGUCACAUGACCCGACACUCAAGUCAUUCAAACAUACAAGCAUGCGGAAGCAACUAGUCCGAGUACAGACUCUAGAAAAAAAGAAGGCUUCUCGAAGCCUGUCUAUCUACAUAGGGCCCUCCAUGGCCAGGAUCACCACCUGGGCGGCUAGUCACUCGUCGACGUUAAGGUCUACAUAAAACCCAUCGGAGGGGGCAGUGUUGUCGUCUAAAAACAAUAAAUAAGCAAACAUGAGUACAAGGUACUCAGCAAGUCUUACAUCAGAACCUAAUAUACAUGCUCAUUCUCGAGAAGGUGGUGGGGUUAUUGCAGCAAGCCAACUUUGACUCUUGGCAAUUGCCGCAUUCUGUGAUUAUAAGAUAUGGCAAAUGGACGUCAAAACAAUAUUCCUUAAUGGUUUCCUUAAGGAAGAAUUGUAUAUGAUGCAGCCGGAAGGUUUUGUCGAUCCUAAGAAUGCUGACAAGGUGUGCAAGCUCCAAUUCUCUAUUUAUGGGCUGGUGCAAGCAUCUCGGAGUUGGAACAUUCGUUUUGAUGAGAUGAUCAAAGCGUUUGGGUUUACGCAGACUUAUGGAGAAGCCUGCAUUUACAAGAAAGUGAGUGGGAGCUCUGUAGCAUUUCUCAUAUUGUAUGUGGAUGACAUACUGUUGAUGGAAAAUGAUAUAGAAUUCUUGGAAAGCAUAAAGGCCUAUUUGAACAAGUGUUUUUCAAUGAAGGAUCUUGGAGAAGCUGCUUACAUAUUAGGCAUCAAGAUCUAUAGGGAUAGAUCGAGACGCCUCAUUGGUCUUUCAUAGAGUAUGUACCUUGACAAGAUAUUGAAGAAGUUCAAUAUGGAUCAGUCAAAGAAGGGGUUCUUGCCUGUAUUGCAAGGUACGAGAUUGAGCACGGCUCAAUGCCCGACCACGGCAGAAGAUAGAGAAAAGAUGAGUGUCGUCCCCUAUGCCUCGUCCAUAGGGUCUAUCAUGUAUGCUAUGUUGUGUACCAGACCUGAUGUAAACCUUGCCGUAAGUUUGGUAGGAAGGUACCAAAGUAAUCCCGGCAUGGAACACUGGACAACGGUCAAGAAUAUCCUGAAGUACCUGAAGAGGACUAAGGAUAUGUUUCUCAUUUAUGGAGGUGACGAAGAGCUCGUCGUAAAGGGUUACGUCGAUGCUAGCUUCGACACAGAUCUUGAUGACUCUAAGUCACAAACCGAAUACGUGUAUAUUUUGAAUGGUGGGGCAGUAAGCUGGUGCAGUUGCAAGCAAAGCAUUGUGGCGGGAUCUACAUGUGAAGCGGAGUACAUGGCAGCCUCGGAGGCAGCACAAGAAGCAAUCUGGGUGAAGGAGUUCAUUACCGACCUAGGAGUCAUACCCAAUGCGUUGGGCCUGAUGACUCUCUUCUGUGACAACACUGGAGCUAUUGCCCUUGCCAAGGAGCCCAGGUUUCACAGGAAGACCAGGCAUAUCAAGCGUCACUUCAACUCCAUUCGUGAAAGUGUUCAAAAUGGAGACAUAGAUAUUUGUAAAGUACAUACGGACCUGAAUGUGGCAGAUCCGUUGACUAAACCUCUCCCUAGAGCAAAACAUGAUCAACACCAGAACUCUAUGGGUGUUCGAUUCAUCACAAUGUAACUAGACUAUUGACUCUAGUGCAAGUGGGAGACUGUUGGAAAUAUGCCCUAGAGGCAAUAAUAAAAUGGUUAUUAUUAUAUUUCUUUGUUCAUGAUAAUUGUCUAUUGUUCAUGCUAUAAUUGUGUUAUCCGGAAAUCGUAAUACAUGUGUGAAUACAUAGACCACAACACGUCCCUAGUGAGCCUCUAGUUGACUAGCUCGUUGAUCAAAAGAUAGUCAUGGUUUCCUGACUAUGGACAUUGGAUGUCAUUGAUAACGGGAUCACAUCAUUAGGAGAAUGAUGUGAUGGACAAGACCCAAUCCUAAGCAUAGCUCAAAGAUCGUGUAGUUCGUUUGCUAUAGCUUUUCCGAAUGUCAAGUAUCAUUUCCUUAGACCAUGAGAUUGUGCAACUCCCAGAUACCGUAGGAGUGCUUUGGGUGUGCCAAACGUCACAACGUAACCGGGUGACUAUAAAGGUACACUACGGGUAUCUCCGAAAGUGUCUGUUGGGUUGGCACGAAUCAAGACUGGGAUUUGUCACUCCGUAUGACGGAGAGGUUGUUGGAAAUAUGCCCUAGAGGCAAUAAUAAAUUAGUUAUUAUUAUUAUAUUUCAUUGUUCAUGAUAAUCGUUUAUUAUCCAUGCUAGAAUUGUAUUGAUAGGAAACUCAGAUACAUGUGUGGAUACAUAGACAACAUCAUGUCCCUAGUAAGCCUCUAGUUGACUAGCUCAUUGAUCAAUAGAUGGUUAUAGUUUCCUGACCAUGGACAUUGGACGUCGUUGAUAACGGGAUCACAUCAUUAGGAGAAUGAUGUGAUGGACAAGAUCCAAUCCUAAGCCUAGCACAAAGAUCGUGUAGUUCGUAUGCUAAAGCUUUUCUAAUGUCAAGUAUCAUUUCCUUAGACCAUGAGAUUGUGCAACUCCUGGAUACCGUAGGAGUGCUUUGGGUGUGCCAAACAUCACAACGUAACUGGUUGGCUAUAAAGGUUCACUACAGGUAUCUCCAAAAGUGUCUGUUGGGUUGGCGCAAAUCGAGACUGGGAUUUGUCACUCCAUGUAAACGGAGAGGUAUCUCUGGGCCCACUCGGUAAGACAUCAUCAUAAUGUGCACAAUGUGAUCAAGGAGUUGAUCACGGGAUGAUGUGUUACGAAAUGAGUAAAGAGACUUGCCGGUAACGAGAUUGAACAAGGUAUCGGGAUACCGACGAUCGAAUCUCGGGCAAGUAUCGUACCGCUAGACAAAGGGAAUUGUAUACGGGAUUGAUUAAGUCCUUGACAUCGUGGUUCAUCUGAUGAGAUCAUCGUGGAGCAUGUGGGAGCCAACAUGGGUAUCCAGAUCCCGCUGUUGGUUAUUGACCGGAGAGUUGUCUCGGCCAUGUCUGCAUGACUCCCGAACCCGUAGGGUCUACACACUUAAGGUUCGAUGACGCUAGGGUUAUAGGGAAAGUAUGUACGCGGUUACCGAAUGUUGUUCGGAGUCCCGGAUGAGAUCCCGGACGUCAUGAGGAAUUCCGGAAUGGUCCGGAGGUAAAGAUUGAUAUAUAGGAAGUAUGGUUUUUGCCACCGGAAGUGUUCCGGGCAUCACCGGUAGUGUACCGGGACCACCGGAGGGAUCCGGGGGUCCACCAGGUGGGGCCACCAGCCUCGGAGGCAUACAUGGGCCAAUAGUGGGAAGGGACCAGCCCCUAGGUGGGCUGGGGCGCCUCCCCACCAAGGCCCAUGCGCCUGGAGAGAAGAGGGGGCAAACCCUAAGGGCAGAUGGGCCCUAAGGCCCAUGCCUGGUGCGCCUCCCUCUCCCCCACUUGGCCGCCACCCCAGAUGGGGAUUGGGGCUGCCGCCACCCCUAGGGUGGAAACCCUAGGUGGGGGCGCAACCCUCCCUCUCCCCCUAUAUAUAGUGGAGGCAAAGGGGCAUCCCAACACAUGAAGUCCUUCCCGUGUUGGCGCAGCCCUACCCCUCUUCCUCCUCGUCUCUCAUAGUGCUUGGCGAAGCCCUGCUGGAGUCCCGCGCUCCUCCACCACCACCACGCCGUCGUGCUGCUGCUGGAUGGAGUCUUCCCCAACCUCUCCUUCUCCCCUUGCUGGAUCAAGGCGUAGGAGACGUCACCGGGCUGUACGUGUGUUGAACGCGGAGGUGCCGCCCGUUCGGCACUAGGAUCAUCGGUGAUUUGGAUCAUGACGAGUACGACUCCAUCAACCCCGUUCACUUGAACGCUUCCGCUUAGCGAUCUACAAGGGUAUGUAGAUGCACUCUCCUUCCCCUCGUUGCUAGAUUACUCCAUAGAUUGAUCUUGGUGAUGCAUAGUAAAUUUUAAAAUUCUGCUACGAUCCCCAAUAGUGGUAUCAGAGCUAGGUCUAUGCGUAGUUUCUAUGCAUGAGUAGAACACAAGUUGUUGUGUGCGUCGAUUUUGUCAAUUUGCUUGCUGUUACUAGUCUUAUCUUGAUUCGGCGGCAUCGUGGGAUGAAGCGGCCCGGACCGACCUUACACGUACUCUUACGUGAGACUGGUUCCACCGACUGACAUGCACUAGUUGCAUAAGGUGGCUAGCGCGUGUCUGUCUCUCCCACUUUAGUCAGAUCGGAUUCGAUGAAAAGGGUCCUUAUGAAGGGUAAAUAGAAAUUGGCAUAUCACGUUGUGGUUUUCGCGUAGGUAAGAAACGUUCUUGCUAGAAACCUAUAGCAGCCACGUAAAAACUUGCAACAACAAUUAGAGGACGUCUAACUUGUUUUUGCAGCACAUGCCUUGUGAUGUGAUAUGGCCGAAAGGAUGUGAUGAAUGAUAUAUGUGAUGUAUGAGAUUGAUCAUGUUCUUGUAAUAGGAAUCACGACUUGCAUGUCGAUGAGUAUGACAACUGGCAGGAGCCAUAGGAGUUGUCUUAAUUUAUUUAUGACCUGUGUGUCAACAUAAACAUCAUGUAAUAACUUUACUUUAUUGCUAAAGCGUUAGCCAUAGUAGUAGAAGUAAUAGAUGACGAGACAACUUCAAGAAGACACGAUGAUGGAGAUCAUGAUGAUGGAGAUCAUGGUGUCAUGCCAGUGACAAUGAUGAUCAUGGAGCCCCGAAGAUGGAGAUCAAAAGGAGCAAAAUGAUAUUGGCCAUAUCAUGCCACUAUUUGAUUGCAUGUGAUGUUUAUCAUGUUUUACAUCUUAUUUGCUUAGAACGACGGUAGCUUAAACAAGAUGAUCCCUCAAUAAAAUUUCAAGAAAGUGUUCCCCCUAACUGUGUACCGUUGCGAAGGUUCGUUGUUUCGAAGCACCACGUGAUGAUCGGGUGUGAUAGAUUCUAACGCUCGAAUACAACGGGUGUAAGCCAGAUUUACACACGCAAUACACUUAGGUUGACUUGAUGAGCCUAGCAUGUACAGACAUGGCCUCGGAACACGGAAGACCGAAAGGUCGAGCAUGAGUCGUAUAGAAGAUACGAUCAACAUGAAGAUGUUCACCGGUGUUGACUAGUCCAUCUCACGUGAUGAUCGGACACGGCCUAGUUGACUUGGAUCAUGUUUCACUUAGAUGACUAGAGGGAUGUCUAUCUGAGUGGGAGUUCAUUAAAUAAUUUGAUUAGAUGAACUUGAUUAUCAUGAACACAGUCUAAAUUGUAUUUGCAAAUAUUGUAGAUAGAUAGCUCAUGUUGUAGCUCCCUAUUUCAAUACGUUCCUAGAGAAAGAUUAAGUUGAAAGAUAUUGUAAGCAAUGAUGCGGACUAGGUCCGUAGUCCGAGGAGUGUCCUCACUGCUACACAAAAGGCUUACGUCUUUGAUGCACCGCUCGAUGUGCAAACCCCUACAAUGUCGUCUGUGGAUGUUGUGAACACCUGACAGACACAUCCUGAUGACUACUUGAUAGUUUAGUGCACCAUACUUUAUGGCUUAGAAUCGGGAUUCCAAUGACGUUUUGAACGCCAUAGAACAUAUGAGAUGUUCCAAGAGCUGAAAUUGGGAUUUCAGGCUCAUGCCCGUGUUGAGAGGUGUGAGACCUCUGACAAGUUCUUUUGCCAACAAGAUGGAGGAGAAUAACUCAGCUAGUGAGCAUGUGCUCAGAAUGUCUGGGUGCUACAAUCACUUAAAUCAAGUGGGAGUUAAACUUCCAGAUAAGAUAGUGAUUGAUAGAGUUCUCUAGCCACUAUCACUAAGCUACUAGAUCUUCGUGAUGAACUAUGACAUGCAACGGAUGGAGUUGAUCCCGGAGCUGUUCGCGGUGCUUAAGACCGCAAAAGGUAGAAAUCAAGAAGGAGCAUCAAGUGCUGAUGGUUUAACAAGACCACUGGUUUCAAGAAGGGCAAGGGCUAGAAGGGAAACUUCAUGGAUGGCAAACCAGUUGCCGCUCCAGUGAAGGAACCCAAGGUUGAACCCAAACCCGAGACUAAGUGCUUCUAUUGUAAGGGGAACGGUCACUGGUAGCGGAAUUACCCCAAAUGCCUGGUAGAUAAGAAGGUUGGCAACUUCAACAAAGUAUAUACGUGUUAUUAAUGUGUACCUCACUAGUACUCCUGGUAGCACCUGGGUAUUGGAUACCGGUUCAGUUACUAUUAUUGGUGACUUGAAACAAAAGCUACGGACUAAACGGAGACUGGCUAAGGGCGAGGUGACGAUGUGUGUUGGAAGUGUUUCCAAAGUUGAUGAGAUCACCAUCGCACGCUCCAUCUGCCUUCGGGAUUAGUAUUGAACCUAGAUAAAUGUCAUCAGGUGUCCACAUUGAGCAUGAAUAUGAUUAGAUCAUGUUCAUUGCAAUACGGUCAUUCAUUUAAGUUAGAGAAUAAUGGUUAUUCUGUUUACAUGAAUGAUACCUUUCAUGGUCAUGCACCCUAUGUGAAUGGUCCAUUGAAUCUCGGUCGUGGUAAUACACAUGUUCACGCCAAAAGAUGUAGAGUUAAUAAUGAUAGUACCACUUUCUCGUGGCACUGCCGCUUAGGUCAUAUUGGCGUAAGAUGCAUGAAGAAACUCCAUGUCGAUGGAUGUUUGGAGUCACUUGUUUUUGAAUCACUUGACACAUGCGAGCCAUGCCUCAUGGGCAGGAUGACUAAGACACCAUUUUCAGGUACAAUGAAACGGGCAAGUGACUUGUUGGAAAUCAUGCAUGCUGAUGCAUGUGAUCCAAUGAGAAUUGAAGCGUGCGGUGGAUAUCGCUAUUUUCUCAUCUUCAGUGACGAUUUAGGUAGAUAUAGGUAUAUCUACUUAAUGAAGCACAAGUCUGAAACGUUUGAAAAGUUUAAGCGAUUUCAGAGUGAAGUUAAGAAUCAUCAUAACAAUAAGAUCAUGUUCCUACGACCUGAUCAAAAGGGGAUUUUCUGAGUUAUGAGUUUGGCAAUCACUUACGACAUUGUGGAAUUGUUUCACAGUUGAAGUCACCUGGAACACCACAAGGUAAUGGUGUGUCCGGACGUCGUAAUCGAACCUUAUGAAAUAUGGUGCGAUCUAUGAUGUCUCUUACCGAUCUACCGCUAUUAUUUUGAGGUUAUGCAUUAGAGACAGCUGCAUUCACUUUAGAUAGGACACCAUAUAAGUCUGUUGAGACGACACCGUAUGAACAUUGGUUUGGCAAGAAACCAAAGUUGUCGAUUCUUAAUGUUUGGGGCUGCGAUGCUUAAGGCUUCAGCCGGAGAAGCUCGAACCCAAAGUGGACAAACACAUCUUCAUAGGAUACCCAAAGGUGACAGUUGGGUAUACCUUCUAUCUCAGAUUCGAGGGCAAAUUGUUUGUCGCUAAGAACGGGUCCUUUCUCGAGAAGGAGUUUCUCUCGAAAGAAUUGAGUGGGAGGAAGAUAGAACUUGAUAAGGUUGUCGAACCUUUAUUUCAACCAGAAAGUGAUGCAACACAGAAAGAUGUUUUCUAUGGCGCCUACGUCUGUUGAAUAGGAAGUUAAUGAUAGUGAUCAUGAAGCUUCAGAUCAAGUUGUUAUCGAACCUCAUAGGUCGACAAGGAUAUGUACUACUCCUGAGUGGUACGAUAAUCCUGUCUUAGAUAUCAUGUUGUUAGACAACAGUGAACCUACGAGAUAUGGAGAAGCGAUGGUGGGCCCGUAUUCUGACAAAUGGUUAGAAGCCAUAAAAUCCGAGAUAGGAUCCAUGUAUCAGAACAAAUUAUGAACUUUGGUGGACUUGCCCGAUGAUCGGCAAGCCAUUGAGAAUAAAUGGAUCUUUAAGAAGAAGACGGACGUGGACGGUAAUGUUACCGUCUAUGAAGCUCGACUUGUGGCAAAGAGUUUUUCACAAGUUCAAGGAGUUGACUACGAUGAGAUUUUCUCACCCGUAGCGAUGCUUAAGUCCGUCGGAAUCAUGUUAGCAUUAGCUGUAUUUUUCGAUUAUGAAAUCUUACAAAUGGAUGUCAAAACAAGUUUUCUUACCAGUUUUCGUAAGAAAAGUUGUAUGUGAUACAAUAAAAGGUUUUGUCGAUCCUAAGGAUGCUAAAAGGUAUGCUGGCUCCAGCAAUCCUUCUAUGGACUAGAGCAAGCAUCUCGGAAUUGGAAUAUAUGUUUUGAUGGAAUGAUCAAAGAUUUUAAGUUUAUACAAUGUUUGUUAGAAACUUGUAUUUACAAGAAAGUGAGUGGGAGCACUACAACAUUUCUAAUAAGUAUAUGUGGAUGACACAUUCGAAAUGAUGUAGAAUUUCUGGAAAGCAUAAAUGGUUGUUUGAAGAGUGAUUUUCAAAGAAAGACCUGGACAAAGCUACUUACAUAUUGGGCAUCAGGAUCUAUAGAAAUAGAUCAAGACGCCUGAUGAUACUUUCAAGGACGCACACCUUGACAUGUUUUUGAAAGAGUUCAAAAUAGAUCAGUCAAAGAAGGGGUUCUUACCUGAGUUGUAAGGUGUGAAGUUGAGUAAGACUCGAAAAUUGACCACGGCAGAAGAAAGAGGAAGGACGAAGGUCGUCCCCUAUGCUUUUGUCAUAGGCUCUAUACGGUAUGCCAUGCUGAAGUACCGCACCUGAUGUGUGCCUUGCCACAUGUCUGGCAAGAGGGUACAAAGGUGAUCUAGGAGAGGAUCACCAGAUAGCGGUCAAAAUUAUCCUUAGAGGAAUAAGGAAAUGUUUCUCGGUUAUGGAGAUGAUAAAGAGUUCGACGUAAAGAGUUACGUCGAUGCAAGCUUAACACCUAUCCGGAUAGCUCUGAGUAGAGAUACUGGAUACGUAUAAUGGAGCAACUAUUUGGAAUAGCUCCAAGUGGAACGUGGUAGCAGCAUCUGAUGAAGACAUGUACCUAGGGUGGGGACACAGACCUGACCAAAGAGUCCUACCCUAGGACACCCCUAGGAGAAGUCACCUUUCAAUCGACUUGAAGAUAUCCCACUCGACGGGUUCAAGACACUCGACCCAGAAGCUAUCACUCGACCAUGAAGCCAACCACUCGACUGCCAGGAGACCUAAAGUCACUCCGCAGGCAAACGGUCGGCUGUUAAGUAGUCUUUAUGAUCAUUAUAGCACUUUAUUAGGGACGUUACCAGAAACGCCCAACCUUAAAUGUACCUUAAACCCUGCAUUACUGAGGGCGGGAGGGGUCCGGCGAACUCUAUAUAAGCCACCCCCCUCCUCAGUAUGAAGGGUUCGCACCCCUGUAUCCAUACACGCAUAAUCUAGUCGACCGCCUCUGGGCUCCGAGACGUAGGGCUAUUACUUCCUCUAAGAAGGGCCUGAACUCGUAAACCUCACGUGUAACAACUUCCCAAUAGCUAAGAUCUAGCCUCUCCAUAUUCACCCCCCCUACAUCACUGUCAGAGUUAGAACCACGACAGUUGGCGCCCACCGUGGGGCAGGAAUCUUAGCGCUUAGUUGGAGAAGUUGCGAUCUUUUCCGAUCCCUUUGAUCAUGUUUUCUUGCGGAGUUUUGGUGGAGGACCGCGAGAUUCGUCUCGGCGCGCUCACCUUCAUCGUCGAUGACUCCGCCUGGCUUCAGGAGGCACCACUCGACAUCGACGCGCUCCCCGUCCGCGGUGCGACGCACUUCCGCGCAUGCAUUCGUGGCGUCCUCCUGCGGCAGCCAUCGACUCAGUAUCGGUCGGCCCCUGCGUCAUCUCCCCGCCCUGUCUCCCGCCAGCGCAAGCGCUCCGGUCGGUCAAGACUCCAGCGGUGGGUGAGGCAUGCCGUGGCCCGCCAGUCGGCAGCCCCACAAGUCGCGGCAAUCGAGCCUGAUGAAUCCCUCUGCGGCCUGUUCGACCUGUUGACUGGCUCUGCGGAGACUGCAUCCGAGUGCGACAGCAGCGACCCAGCGGCUGAGAUUCUGGCGGUCGACGGAACGCACAGUCCUCCCGGUUUUCCUCGCGCUGAUGGAGGCGCGGGUGGGGGCGAUCCGUCGCAUCCCCAUGAUGAGUAUCUCCCCGAACCUCUCACGUCAUUACAGCGAGAGGAGCUUUGCCGCCGGAACAUGGACGCGCUCCGCACUCCUAUCGUCGGAGAGACCCCCGAGGCCCGGGCCUUGGAGGACGCGCGUUUGGCCAACUUGGCCGAGCGCACUCGACUGGAGAAUCUCCAGCGAGCACUCGAUGAGCAAGCGCGUCAGCGGGCUCCCGAGUCUAGUCGACGCUAGCUCUUCCCGCCGACGCGGGUAUAUCGAACCCCAGUUCAGAAUUUGGUCGCCACGGCCCGUAUAGCAGAAUCGAUUCAGCCCUCCCAGUCGGAGGCUGGCAGGGGCUUGUUACAGAUCAGAGCAUUGCUCCGGGCAGCGGGAAACCAGAAUUCCACUGUCUCUCAGUCGCGGAAUAGGAUCCACAGUCGAUCUGUCACAACAGAUACAGUCGAGUCGGCUCAUAGCCCGAGAUCACCCCCGAGGCGUGAGGGACGUGGUGACCGGCGUGACCAGUACAGGAGGAAUGAGCAGUAUGAUCACCGAUUCGACCGUGAUGAUUGACGUCGAGUGCCAACCCCUCCCCCGAGGAGUGGGUCAUAUGCACCUCGACGGCAAGAUGACAGACGCCCUCAUAGUGUUGGGAAGAGAAUUCCAGUUGACCCCAGAGACCCAGGCUUUGAUGCGAGAUCCAUCCUCGUUCAAGGUUUGGUUGACAGGAACAGAGCUCAUCGAGGAGGCCACAACAGAGAUGCGCCUGCCAGCAGCGGAGUACGUGCUUCAGGGCCAGAGUGUUUCAGUCGAGCCAUCAGAGCCGCAGUGAUUCCUCCCAAUUUCAGGCUGGCGACUAGAAUCAGCAAGUUCACUGGUGAAUCUAAGCCUGACACUUGGCUCGAAGAUUACCGAGUGGCUGUACAGAUUGGCGGUGGCAAUGAUGAGGUGGCCAUGAAGCAUUUGCCUCUCAUGUUAGAGGGCUCGGCCAGAGCGUGGCUAAAUCAGUUAGCACCCAGCAGCAUUUACACUUGGGAGGACCUCUCCCGAGUGUUUAUCACGACCUUUGAAGGAACAUGCAAGCGACCUGCAGGCCUUACAGAGUUGCGGUCUUGCGUGCAGAAGCCGAAUGAAACUCUCAGGGAAUACAUCCAGAGGUGGAUCACGCUGCAUCACUCGGUUGAGAAUGUGCCAGACCAUCAAGCGGUUUGUGCCUUCAAGGAAGGUGUCAAAUACAGAGAGUUGAAUCUGAAGUUCGGUCGAACUGGAGAGAUGUCUCUGAAUCGGAUGAUGGAGAUUGCCACCAAGUACGCUAAUGGAGAAGAUGAAGAUCGACUCCAGAGUGGCAAGCAGAAAGCAGUCGCCCAGGAAACCGGAGGCAAUUCCAGUCGGAAGCAGAAGCAGAAGGCCGAGCCAGCCGCCCCUGGGGAGGCCCUGGCCGCAACCCAGGGAAAUUUCAAGGGAAAACCCAAAGGCCCCUGGAAGCCCAAGAAAGUUAAGGAUCAAGAUGGAAAUGAUGUUUUGGAUCUGCGAUGUCACAUCCACACCAAGAAGGAUGAAGAGGGUAAUUUUAUUUACCCAAAGCAUACCACUCGACAGUGCCGGCUCCUGAUCCAGCAGUUCCAAGGAAAGCAGUCCAAGGAUAAGGAAAAAGAGUCGGAUAGAGUCGAGGACAAGGAAGACAGUGACGAUGGAUACCCCCAAGUCAAUUCCACCCUGAUGAUUUUUGCCGAUGUCGAAAGCAAAACUCGAUUGAAAGUCAUUAACCGAGAGGUGAACAUGGUUGCCCCGGCAACACCCAGUUACCUGAAGUGGUCUCAGACUGCCAUCACAUUCGACCAGUCUGAUCACCCGACGCACAUUGCCACCCCUGGGAGGCAAGCUUUGGUGGUCGACCCAAUUGUUGAAGGCACUCGACUGACUAAAGUCCUGAUGGAAGGUGGCAGUGGCCUGAACAUACUGUAUGCUGAAACAUUGAAAGGAAUGGGCAUUCCGAUGUCCAGGCUCAGCACCAGUAACAUGAGUUUCCACGGAGUCAUUCCUGGGAAGAAAGCCCAAUCACUCGGCCAGAUCGCUCUUGAUGUGGUUUUCGGUGAUUCAAAGAAUUACCGCAAGGAAAAGUUGACAUUCGAGGUUGUGGACUUACAAAGUGCUUAUCACGCCAUUUUGGGCAGGCCAGCUUACGCACGCUUCAUGGCCCGGCCAUGUUACGUGUAUCUCAAACUGAAGAUGCCUGGCCCCAAAGGUGUGAUCACUGUUACAGGCAAUCGGAAGAAGGCGGAAGAGUGCUUUCAGAAGGGCUCAAAGAUUGCAGAUGCUCAGAUGGCAGUGGUCGAGCUGCAAGAGUACCAAAAGACUGCCGAUCCAAGUGAGUUGCUACGAGCCAAGAAGCCUGCUUCAGAAUCAGCUUUUCAGUCGUCCGGUGAAACAAAGACAGUCCACAUUCACCCGACCGACCCCGAUGCUGCCCCGACUCACAUCUCAACGACGCUUGACUCCAAAUAGGAAGAAGCGCUCAUCCAGCUCCUCCGUGAGAACUGGGACAUCUUCGCAUGCAAACCCUCUGACAUGCCUGGAGUUCCCAGAGGGCUGGCUGAGCACCGUCUACGAGUCGACCCGAAGUUCAAGCCUGUGAAAGAACAUCUUCGACGGUCCGCCGUCCAGAAGAGGAAAGCCAUUGACGAGGAGGUGGCUCGGCUCUUAGCAGCGGAGUUCAUCCGAGAGAUUUACCACUCCGAGUGGCUCGCCAAUGUCGUCAUGGUCCCCAAGAAGGACAAGUCACUUCGCAUGUGCAUUGAUUUCAAACAUAUCAAUCGGGCCUGCCCGAAAGAUCAUUUUCCUCUCCCUCGCAUCGACCAAAUAGUCGACUCGACUGUGGGGUGUGAGAGAUUGUCUUUUCUAGAUGCUUAUUCCGGGUACCAUCAGAUCCGUCUAUAUGGACCCGACGAAAUCAAGACAGCUUUCAUCACCACAUUCGGAUGCUUCUGUUAUGUCACCAUGCCGUUCGGCCUCAAGAACGCCGGAGCCACGUUCAUGAGAAUGAUUCAGAAGUGUUUACUCACUCAAAUCAGUCGGAAUGUGGAGGCAUACAUGGAUGAUAUUGUGGUCAAGUCACGCAAAGGUUCCGACCUGCGAGCUGACCUUGCCGAAACCUUUGCCAACCUCAGGAGGUAUGAUAUCAAGCUCAAUCCAUCAAAGUGCACAUUCGGAGUUCCAGGUGGAAAGUUACUCGGUUUUCUCGUUUCUGAACGGGGGAUCGACGCCAAUCCUAAAAAAGUUGGCACCAUACUCCGGAUGAAGCGUCCCGUUCGCGUGCACGAUGUCCAAAAGCUUACAGGCUGCUUGGCCGCCCUAAGUCGAUUCAUUUCUCGCCUCGGUGAAAAGGCGUUUCCCCUUUACCGACUGAUGAAGAAGUCUGACAAGUUCGAGUGGACUCCAGAAGCUGAUGCAGCAUUUGCAGAGCUCAAAGCUCUGCUCUCCACCCAGCCGGUGCUUGCUGCCCCAAUCAGCAAAGAGCCUCUGCUGCUUUACAUUGCAGCCAUAGGGCAAGUUGUCAGCACAGUACUUACGGUCGAGCGGGAAGAAGAAGGAAAGGCCUUCAGAGUUCAGCGCCCAGUCUAUUAUGUGUCUGAAGUUUUGACACCUUCAAAACAAAGAUACCCUCACUACCAGAAGCUUGUAUACGGGAUUUAUAUGACCACCAAGAAGGUUGCACAUUACUUCUCUGACCACUCCAUUACAGUCGUCAGUGACGCCCCACUGUCAGAGAUUCUGCAUAACAGAGAUGCAACUGGUCGAGUGGCCAAGUGGGCGAUUGAACUCCUUCCCGUAGAUAUCAAGUUUGAAGCAAAGAAGGCUAUCAAGUCCCAAGCAAUCGCAGAUUUCAUCGCCGAGUGGAUUGAACAGCAACUUCCGACUCAAGUUCACUCGGAGCACUGGACCAUGUUCUUUGAUGGAUCUAAGAUGCUGAAUGGUUCCGGUGCUGGGGUAGUUCUAGUCUCCCCCCCGAGGAGAUAAGCUCAGAUAUGCUCUCCAGAUUCACUUCGAUUCCUCCAACAAUGAAGCAGAGUAUGAAGCACUUUUGUACGGGUUGCGCAUGGCCAUUUCACUCGGCGUCCGUCGCCUCAUGGUCUACGGUGACUCAGAUUUGGUGGUUAAUCAGGUGAUGAAGGAGUGGGACGCUAGAAGUCCAGCUAUGACUGGUUAUUGCAAUGCAGUGAGAAAGCUAGAAAAGAAAUUCGAGGGGUUAGAGCUUCAUCACAUCCCCCGACUGAAAAAUCAAGCAGCUGAUGAUCUGGAAAAAAUAGGCUCCAAGAGAGAAGCCAUUCCUAGCAAUGUGUUUCUGGAGCACAUCCGCUCGCCGUCAGUCCAGGAGGAUCCUUUCACAGAAGAAGCCCCACAACCGAAAAGUGCCACAGAUCCGACUGAAGUCGAAGUUCCUGCUGUGGUCGACCUAAUCAUGGAAGUCUUGGCAAUCACUCCCGACUGGACAAUACUGUACAUCGCGUAUAUCCUAAGGAAAGAGCUCCCAGAAGACGAGGAAGAGGCUCGACAGAUCGUCCGCCGAUCCAAGGCCUUCACAGUCAUAAAGGGACAGUUGUAUAGAGAAAGCGCGACUGGAAUCGGUCAGAAGUGCAUAACACCAGAAGAAGGUCGGAUAAUCCUCGAUGAUAUCCACUCGGGGACCUGUGGCCACCAUGCGUCCUCUCGGACCAUUGUGGCUAAAGCAUACCGAGCGGGAUUUUACUGGCCUAGAGCAAAUGAGAUGGCAAAAGAGAUAGUCGACAAAUGUGGAGGCUGCCAGUUCUACUCCAACAUGUCACACAAGCCUGCAUCAGCCCUGAAGACCAUUCCAGUCGUCUGGCCCUUUGCUGUCUGGGGACUGGACAUGGUUGGUCCACUGAGAACAGGCAGGAGUGGAUUCACGCAUGUGCUUGUGGCAGUUGACAAGUUCACCAAAUGGAUUGAAGCCAAGCCUAUCAAGAACCUCGAUGCUGGCACUGCUAUCAGUUUCGUCAGAGGACUAACAUUCAGAUAUGGAGUCCCUCAUAGCAUCAUCACUGACAAUGGGUCAAACUUUGAUUCGGACCAGUUCAGAGCUUUUUGCGCCUCUCAAGGCACACGAGUCGACUAUGCGUCGGUCGCGCAUCCUCAGUCGAAUGGACAAGCUGAAAGAGAAAAUGGUUUGAUCCUCAAAGGACUGAAGCCUCGGCUGAUGCGUGAUCUCAAGCACGCGGCAGGUGCUUGGGUCGACGAGCUUCCGUCAGUUCUGUGGGGAUUGAGGACCACCCCUAACCGGUCGACUGGAAGAACUCCAUUCUUUCUGGUUUAUGGAGCCGAAGCGGUUCUGCCAAGUGAUCUUCUUCACAACGCGCCCCGAGUCGAGCUUUACACCGAAGAUGAAGCAGAACAGGCCCGGCAAGAAGCAGUCGACCUCCUAGAAGAAGAGAGGGUGAUGGCCAUGAUCAGAUCGACCAUUUAUCAGCAAGACUUGCGUCGAUUCCAUGCCCGGAAUGUGAAGAGUCGAGCCUUCCAAGAACAAGAUUUGGUCCUCCGAGUGGAUCAAUAGAAACCACACAAGCUUGCUCCUACUUGGGAAGGCCCCUUCAUCAUCACCAGAGUCCUCCACAAUGGAGCGUAUCACCUCUACAAUGUUGAUCGCCAGAUCGACGAGCCUCGAGCUUGGAAUGCGGAACUACUCCGCCCCUUUUACACUUGAGCUCUCCCUUGGACGAGAUGUAAUAAGAAAAAUUCCUGCAGUUCGUUUUUAUCAAAGGCAAGAGUGUUCCAUCAAUUGUUGUCACUUUUGUUUACAUACGGAAUCCUCCAGUGGGUGACUUAGCUGCGAAUCCGUUUCGCCUAAGUUUGAAAAAAUCCUACCGAGUGGAGAGCGAUCCUCCCACUCGGGGGCUUAGCUGCAGUCCAGCACUCGCCUAAGUUCUCUCACUUAGAGACUUAGCUGCGGUCCGGCACUCGCCUAAGUUUGAAAAAAUCCCACCGAGUGGAGAGCGAUCCUCCCACUCGGGGGCUUAGCUGCAGUCCAACACUCACCUAAGUUCUCUCACCUAGAGACUUAGCUGCAGUCCGGCACUCGCCUAAGUUUGAAAAAAUCCUACCGAGUGGAGAGCAAACCUCCCACUCGGGGGCUUAGCUGCAGUCCAGCACUCGCCUAAGUUCUNNNNNNNNNNNNNNNNNNNNNNNNNNNNNNNNNNNNNNNNNNNNNNNNNNNNNNNNNNNNNNNNNNNNNNNNNNNNNNNNNNNNNNNNNNNNNNNNNNNNNNNNNNNNNNNNNNNNNNNNNNNNNNNNNNNNNNNNNNNNNNNNNNNNNNNNNNNNNNNNNNNNNNNNNNNNNNNNNNNNNNNNNNNNNNNNNNNNNNNNNNNNNNNNNNNNNNNNNNNNNNNNNNNNNNNNNNNNNNNNNNNNNNNNNNNNNNNNNNNNNNNNNNNNNNNNNNNNNNNNNNNNNNNNNNNNNNNNNNNNNNNNNNNNNNNNNNNNNNNNNNNNNNNNNNNNNNNNNNNNNNNNNNNNNNNNNNNNNNNNNNNNNNNNNNNNNNNNNNNNNNNNNNNNNNNNNNNNNNNNNNNNNNNNNNNNNNNNNNNNNNNNNNNNNNNNNNNNNNNNNNNNNNNNNNNNNNNNNNNNNNNNNNNNNNNNNNNNNNNNNNNNNNNNNNNNNNNNNNNNNNNNNNNNNNNNNUAUACGGAAUCCCCCAGUGGGUGACUUAGCUGCGAAUCUGUUUCGCCUAAGUUUGAAAAAAUCCUACCGAGUGGAGAGCGAUCCUCCCACUCGGGGGCUUAGCUGCAGUCCAGCACUCGCCUAAGUUCUCUCACUUAGAGACUUAGCUGCGGUCCGGCACUCGCCUAAGUUUGAAAAAAUCCCACCGAGUGGAGAGCGAUCCUCCCACUCGGGGGCUUAGCUGCAGUCCAGCACUCACCUAAGUUCUCUCACCUAGAGACUUAGCUGCAGUCCGGCACUCGCCUAAGUUUGAAAAAAUCCCACCGAGUGGAGAGCGAUCCUCCCACUCGGGGGCUUAGCUGCAGUCCAGCACUCACCUAAGUUCUCUCACCUAGAGACUUAGCUGCAGUCCGGCACUCGCCUAAGUUUGAAAAAAUCCUACCGAGUGGAGAGCAAACCUCCCACUCGGGGGCUUAGCUGCAGCCCAGUGCUCGCCUAAGUGUUUAAAAAUCCUACCGAGUGGAGAGUAAACCUCUCACUCGGAGGCUUGGCUACAGCCCAGUGCUCGCCUAAGUACAAGACUCGACCCAAUCCGUGAGUCGACCGCUACCUUCUCCCUCGGAGCUGCGUCACAAAUACAAGAUUAUUCCGAGUGAAGAUCAAGUUCCACUCGACGAAUCAAACCAUGAAGAUAUCCAACGAGAAAUCAAGUUCAGAAAAAGCCCAAAAGGUCCCAGACCUCAAAGUACUCGAGCCCUCGGCUCGGCGGAGUUUAAACGGUUACAAAUCCACUCGGCAUCCCGAGGUAAAUUCAAAGUUUUUCACUCCAUGGGAAGAGGACUGGAAGGGGUGACAAACUCAUCCAAGUCGAUCCCGUCGGCGAUACGGGUGGCAGCGGCGAUGAAAGUCUCCAUGAAGUCUUGAAAGCUGUGCUUCCUGGUAUUUGCAACUUGGAUAGCCGCCAGCUUUUCUUCUCGCGCCUCCUUGCAAUGGACGCGGACCAGAGACAGAGCGACAUCAGCACCACAUCUAGCAGAAGAUUUCUUCCAUUCCGCCACUCGACCUGGGACUUCGUUAAGUCGAGCCAUCAGAGACUCGAGGUCGUUCUGAAGCGUCGUCCCAGGCCAGAGUGAUGUGUCGAUCCGCGACAUUGCAACUUUCAGCCGAGCCAGAUAAUCAACGACGCUGGCAACACGAGACUCCAGUCGGAGCACGUUCAUGGCAGCCUCGUCCUUCACAAGAGAGUUAACAGGGUCCAAGCUUGGCUCCACUCGACUGGUCUCCUCUUCAAAGUUCUGACAGAAUUCUGCAAACACGAUUCAAGAGUAAGACAGUGGCCCUACGCAGGCUUGGCAAACUGCAAGACAGUCGGGGCAGAGUAAUUACCUUCGAGCAUGACGAACAACUUCUUGGCAAGUCCACCGAGAUAAGCUUCCAGAUCUUUUACCUUCCCCACCAGCUCACCCGCCUUGUCGUGCAGAGCCAUCUUCUCCUUCUUCAGUCGACUGGCAUCUCGAUUAGCUGCCUCGAGAGCGGUUUUCAGUCUGGAGUUCUCCUGUUCAAGAGCUCCGACCGAAGCCAAUUUCUCCUCUGCAAGCUUCGUUUUGCUUGAGGCCUCCUUCUGUGCCUCUGCAAGGUCUUGGUCCUUCUUCUUCAGAGCUUCCUCCAGUUUAUCUGAGGCGCGUCGAGUGGAACCAACAUCAAGAAUGGACAAGAAAGAAAAGCCACCCGUUAAGAAUAGAGAACCUCACCAGCCAUACCUUUCGCUUCUUCUUGCGCCUUCCUCAAAUUCUCCUGAACAAGCUUCAAGUUAAGGUUGAGCUGGAUCUGCUGAUUCUCCAACUCAUUAUAGCGAGCUACAAGUUCGCAAGAUUUCUGUAAAAAGGAAAAUCAGUCGAUAGACGUCCAAGAUAAGUUGCUUCCGAGUAACUAAGAUACAAUGAUGACGUUUCUAAGACCACAGCCGAAUCAAAAACAUUCGCAGUAGUCUCGGGGACUACACCCAGUGGGUGCACUCAGCGUGCCCCCACUGGUUUGACCAAAAAAAAA